rnacentral:lncRNA from 1 species
AAGCCUCAAAAUGCAAAUCACAUCCUUGUUAGUGUUGUUCGUGGGAGUAGUUGUUUUAGCCACUCCCUCUUUCGCAGAUUACUACAAACCGCCUAAGUAUGAGCCUAAGCCACCUUAUUUCAAGCCUCCUAAGGUAGAGAAGCCAUUCCCAGAACACAAGCCUCCAGUCUACAAGCCACCAAAGAUUGAGAAGCCACCAGUCUACAAGCCACCACCAGUCUACAAGCCACCAAUUGAGAAGCCACCAGUCUACAAGCCACCACCAGUCUACAAGCCACCAAUUGAGAAGCCACCAGUCUACAAGCCACCACCAGUCUACAAGCCACCAAUUGAGAAGCCACCAGUCUACAAGCCACCACCAGUCUACAAGCCACCAAUUGAGAAGCCACCAGUCUACAAGCCACCAAUUGAGAAGCCACCAGUCUACAAGCCUCCAAAGAUUGAGAAGCCACCACCCUUUCACAAGCCAUUGCCACCUUAUGGUCACUAUCCGGGACACCCUCCAGUUGAAAAUGCGGAAUAUAUCAAGCCAAAAAACUGAAUUAAACUUUUUAUAUAUAGAUAUGCAGGAGUACUAUUAGUAGCUGAGAAUAAGUGCCAUGGCUGAAGCUCAUUCAUUAGGCUUUCUAGUGCGUUUUCUAUAUCGAUCAGUUGCACACUGCAAGUGAGGAAAGCUCUCGUUGAAACGUCUCUUCUUUUUUCUUGUAAUUGAUGAGCAUAUCCUAAACUUUAUUAUGUAAACCAGUGGACUUCAUUUGCUGGAAUAUUUAUGAAUAUAUUUGAUCUUGUGUAUGUGGUGCGAGCGUACGACGUGGUUUUGAAUGUUUAAAACAUCUUCAAAUAUUAAUCGCUCACUGGUGAAAUUAAUCCAUGUUAAUUAGUAAGUGGUUAUCCUUCCCUCAUUUCAACCAAUACAUGUGCUUCUAACCUCAAGCGUCAAGAAUUAUCAACUCAAUGACUGUCAGCAUGUGUAUUGCUUGUUAUAUUACCAGUAACGUUAUAUAAAACACACUGCAGAGAUCAAAUCUAACGUUUUCUAGUUCUUGAGAAUAUGUUGAUCACGAAUAUAUAGUUGUAAUCGUGCGAGAGAUUUCCAUUGCAAGAUGAUAUAAAAAAUAUUAAAAAUUGUUAUAAAACCAUCCCCCCUCGUUUAAUAAAUUAAACUCCUAAUUCGAGAAGUUUCUUAAUGCAAUAUUGAAGUUUCAUUGACGAAAUGGUCUUGAGGGGAAUCCUAACACUCCUACUAUUUCUAAUUAAAAUUAGCAGAAGUUAAAAAAAUAUAUAUUAAAGAAUUAAUAUAGAAAUAAAAGAAAAUACAAGACACAUCUUAAUGCAAGCGGAUUUUGGGAAGUACUCGGUAGUCAUGAACUAAAAUUUAAUUAAACAGUAACUACAAAGCUAGUGCCAAAUUAAUACAUGUAUACAUUAACUUGGGGGUAACGAUGACAUUGUUAUUCACAGAAAAAAAAGUUUCAUUUAUCUUAAUUAGCACAACGUCUACUUAUAUUGUAUAAUUCAUAAAGUAUUUGAAUCAUAUAACAAAUGUGUGUAUAGUCGAUACAUUUGUUUUUUUUUUCAAUUAAGUUAUCUUUUCUUAUCGACCGUUGUUAAACUCAACAUGGCUUAUUAGGUUGAUAAAAAAUUCGAGACUUGAAACCUCACUUAGACUAGAUUUUUAAUCAAACAAAAAAAUAAAAACAGUGAUUUGACCAAGUUUGUUUAACUUGUUUUUGUUUUAAUGACCUGAGUAAGUGUCAGGGUUGAUCCGACAAUUGAUAUGAAAAAGAGCCUAGCUAGAUGGCUAAGUUAGUAGAUAAACUAGGAUCAAAAGACUCCGUUGGUUAGUUUAUCCAUGCACCGGUCCGAAAAUGUCCUGUUUGCAAAUCUUUUAUUUCAAGCUUCAACCGAAUGUUGCUAGUCAAUUCAAGAGAAAAAUGCCCAUCUUCGAAAUAUGGCCAUCGAAAAAUUAAAGAUAUGAGCUAAUUAACUGAUUUCAGCCAGUAAUGUUGACUCGAUACAUUAUAAGAUUUGUCAAAGACUAAAGAGAAUUCCUGUGGCUCUCAGCCUCUCCUGAUGUCGGUACGUAUAAUACAACCCCACCUCCAACAAAUUAAUUUGUCUUGUUCGAGCAAGUUUAAUGGACUUGGUUCGAUCGCUAGUACUUGAUAUUGCGGAUAUAAUCGAGGUCCUAAUCCCACCGGCAUCUUACCAUUAACUAAAUUGAACAAAUCUCUGUAAAAUACUGUCUGCAUAUCUGUCGGUGAUGUUUUUUAAAAAUAUUAUUUAGAAUAAAUUAUAUUAAAUUAUAUAAAUUAAUAGUAAAAAAAACCAAUUAUGCAAAUAAAUUUGUUUUAAACAUCAAAAAUAUAAAAAUAAAGUUAAAUAAUAUUCAUCCAAAUAUUCAUUACAAAUUUAAUGUGUUUUCAAAAAAAAAAAUAAACUAGAACAAUGACGGAGCUGAAAAAGGAGGAGGAGAUGGUGGAGGUUGGUCGUUCCCUGCACGAAACGACCAAAAGAACGCGCACAUGUAUCAUCACCCAUCUUUGAUCUAAUGUCCAUGACCAUUAGGCGUUGUUGUUGAUAAUCCACCGAGAGUUGAGCAUAUUGUUGUUUCAAGGCCAUGAACUUCUCGGACUGGGUGCUCGAUACUGAUUGGAAGCUCCCGACGGUUGAGACACUACGGGCCGCCCGCAAGUUCUUGGCCGUAGUGUUGGAGAGCCCGUACAUCCAAUUUUUAUCCGGUCCAUCAGACGAUUCUACCUCCAUCCACAAAUCCGGAUCGAAAUCCGAAUGGGUCGAAGGAUCGUCCCCAUAUCUCUCCCUCAAUUGGCUAUUAUAGGUCUUCUGAAAAUGAAAAAAGAAAUCAUCAUAUUCAAUUCUAGAAAAAUAAUAACUUACGAAAUAAAAUGGUUGAACGAACAUACCAUGAAGUGUUGAGCGUGGUUGUCAACGAACUGUUGCACCUCCUUUUUGCGGUCUUCACUCCGCACGUGCGUCUCUAGAAACAGCUCCAUUGGGCUUGGCUCAUGUCCAAGAGACGUAACUUGUAAGAAAAAAAUUAAUUAAGUAACAACAAAUUAAUUAACGAUAUAUUUUAUUUAAAUUAAUCUUACCAUCCGUUUUGUAUGUGCGUCAAACGGAACGGAGUCGCCAGUGUGCGUGGUCACCGAACCAUAAAUUUGUCGGUUCCGGUUGUUGGCAUCGGACUGUGAGCAUCGUGUGAACCGCUCAGACGUCACAUGCUCAAUAUAUUGAGGCCAUACAUCCCCCUAGGAUGUAUGGCGGUUUGAAAUUCCUCCAAACUGUCACGUCAUUCCAGCCUUGGAGACCGUUAUCUCUCGUGUACGUGCUUGCCUUUUUUUGUGUUUCAUUUCAAAAAUCACACAACCUACUUCCACAGUGAAAAAUUUGAUUUUAUAACAAUUUUUUUUAAAAAAAAUAUCGUAUUAUUUUCGAUGUUACCUAGUUGUCGCGUGAUUUUUCCACACCCUCCUCGCAACAUUGUUAUGGGUAUUGUCCCAUUCGAAUUUGUGAUGUUUUAUUUACAACAAAAAAAUAAUUUAUUUACAAUUAUAAUAAUAAUUUAUUAAAAAUAAGCUGAAAAUUAGAAAUUAACACCAACCUGAAAUCUUCAAAACCAUGCAUCAAUAUAAGGUCUCGAUUCAGAAUGUCUGGAAACUUGACUCCAUUGAAAUAAUAGAAUCUCCAUCGAUGAUUUAAACGCCGAUGAUAUUAUUCGGGCGGCCUCAAUGCUUGUGAACCUGAAAAUAAAUUAAAUUAAUGAAAUAUUGAUUAGUUGUUCAUAAAUUAUGUUAUAAUUAAAAAUAAUACUAAAACUAAACUGAAACAAAUUUACAUUGAAAGAUGGUCAUUUCAAUGUACUUUGUACUUAUGAAUAAAUUGCGUUGUUGAAAUUUUUCUUUAAGGUCUGCAUAUGAAUUACAGUAGCUAGCGUAACAGGGAUCCGGUAUGGAAGUUGAUUUGGAAAUGGAAAGGGCCGGAGAAAAUCAAUAGUCUAUUGACGAAUGACGAAUGAGACUCGAGUAUUUAAGAACAUGGCUGAAGAUAUGGAAGACUAGUGAAAGAUCAAUUUUAAAUACAAAGUAAGGAAGAAAGAAAUUGGUUCACAUUUAAGCCCAUUAUGGAAAAACAGAAGGCCCAUUGACCAAUACACUUUAGGUCAAUAUAAGCAUCGUUUGGGCUUCAAAACAGGCAAGUAUGAAGACGAAUGAGGUUAAGUUUCUUGCAUUUAGAAGUUCAUCAACUUUGUUAUAUCUCUAUAUUCUAUACCACACGCCAUAAUCAAAACCUCAAAUCAGUCCCGAGACUGUAAUUCCAUGCUGAUUCAAGUCCUUAGAAAACAUUAUUUCUUAAUUGGAUUCUCAAAGGUUCAAAAUUUUCAAUUGAGUCCCUAUGUUGGAUUUAUCAAUGGAUUUCUAUUUGAAAUGCAUAUGAUUUACACAGUAAAACGAGACUAUUCCAAGUGAAGUUUGGUAUUUUUUGUUUGAAACUGUGAUGAUUUUAACUAAGAGUACUUAUUGAAAAUAUCCGGAGAGAUCUAAUAAUUGUUGUUAAUUGCACAUAACUAUCAUAAUUACAGAAAAAUUAGCUAGAUUAUAAAAUAAUAUUCAAUAUUUUUUAAUAUAAAAUAAUACUAGCUAGAUUAAAAAAAAAUUUAAACUAACGAGUAAUAAAAUAAAUUAUCACAUUACAAUAAAAUAAAAAUAUUUAAUAUUUUGUAAUUUAAAAACAUUAUAAUUAAGUGCUUGAAGUUACCACAUCAAGUGACCUUCGGCCUUCCUUCGAGUACGAAUUGUAAUAAGAGCAGUUCACCAAGGCCCAAAAUCUAGUCCCUCAGGUCUCAUGCAAUAAGAGCAGUACCGAAACAGAUCGAAAAGUAUUUGGGCCCUCUUCUUUUUUGGGGUCCAAUUUUCAGGGUCCAACUAUUUGUCGGGUCAGAAACUAAAAGUUAGGCCCAACUUGUAAUCAUGUCAGCACAUGCUAGUCUUCUUGGAAAGCAGAUUGUGAUUUUCUACCCAUAAAAAUAUUAAAGACAGAGAUAUUGAAGGACUUCCAUGCCGGAGUCGGGUGGGGAUUAGCCGACUACCCAAGAAUUGGCUAAUUUAUCUACACACCCAAAAGUGAGAUUUCUUUUGCUUUUUUCUUUUAUAAAUUAAAUUUAUUGUCCAGAUAUAAAGGACAUUAAAACCAAAGGUAAUCAUACGAGUCGUUUUUGCAGUUAAAAAAUGUUUUUGAAUUUUUUUUAUUUUAAAUUAAUUUUUUUAUAUUUUUGAAUUAUUUUGAUGCAUUAAUAUUAAAAAUAAAAUUUUUAAAAAUAAAAAAACAUAUUAUUUCAAUAUAUUUUUAAAUAAAAAAUACUUUAAAAAAUAACCACUACUAUAAUUUUAAAUAAUAUUUUGAAUUUCAUUUACAGGGCACAUUUUUAUAUAUGUUUUUUUUUCUACCUCAAGGCGAAUUUUUUAGUUCGUUUGUCUUCAAAAAAUGGGGACCACAAAUUCUUUUUGACAUGGAUAUGACUCAGAGGUUAGGGACACAAUCCUAGAAAAGCAAGAGGUAACGGAGAAACUAUAAAAACAAGUUAAUUUCAUUGGUGGUGGAGUCAAAUACUUUGAGAUUGGAACUUGAUGGAUAUAAAUAAAAUGAACUCAUUUUUUUUUUUCAAAAGAGACCCAAAGAAAUUCUCUAAAAAAAGGAAAAAGUUAAAAGAAAAAAAAGCCAAAAAAUUUCCAAGGAACAUGGACUCGAGUAAAGAACUUGAGCACAUGGUCCUUCCAUAGGCACAUGGAUGCCUAGUGCGUGGGCACCAUGCAAUGCAUUACGCGUUCGCCUAGUGCUGGGUGUACAAUACACCUGCAUUCUCAAUCAACCUAAUAUUGAAUGAUGAAAUAUAAAACAAAAUUCAACUAAGAAAAUGAGUCGAGUCAAGUUAACUUGUCAAAUAUAGAUUAUAAGACCAGAAUAACCCCAUAGAAAGAAAAUAAAAAUAAAUUAUGAAACUCAAUUCUCAAUUAAUCCAAUGUUGAAGGGUAAAAUUAAAAAAAAAUAAUUUAAAAAAGGAUACAAAAAACCACUUGAAUCAAUUGACCAAACUCAUGACCCAAGUUAUAAGAUCAAGAUAACCUUAUAGAAUGCAAACUAAAAACAUUAUAAAGGCUAAUUCCCAAUCAACUUAAUAUUGAAGGAAGAAAUUCAAAAAAUUCAACUAAAAAAGAGAAAAAAAAACUUGAUUCAACCGGCCCAACCUGCCACCCGGGUCAUAAGACUGUGAUAACCCCAUAGAAAGUAAAUAAAAAAUAUCAAUCUCAAUUCCCAAUUAACCUAAUUUUGAAGGAUUGAAUUGAAAAAAAGUCAAAUAAAAAAGGAAAAGAAUAAAUCAAGUCAACUUGGAUUAACCUGUAAAACUCGGGUCAGACGAUCAGUACAACUUUGUAGAAAAGGAAUAAGUUUUUUUUUAUAAAAUCAAAUUCUCAAACAACUCAAUGUUGAAUGAUAAAAUUAAAAAAAAUAAUUAAAAAUGGAUAAAACAAAUGACUUGAGUUAACACGGCUAACCUGCAAAACUUACGACUCGGGUCAUGAGACUAAUAUAACUCCAUAGAAAGUAAAUAAAAAAAGAUUAUAAAGUCUUAUUCCUAAUAAUCUUAAUAUUGAAGGAUGAAAUUAAAAAUAAAAAAUUAAUUAUAAAUGGAUAAAAAAUGAUCUGAGUCAACUUGACUAACCCGUAAAAACCAUGACCCGAAUCAUGAGACUGAGAUAACUCUAUAGAAAACAAAUUAAAACAAAUUAUGAAGUCAUAUACCUAAUAAACACAACAUUGAAAGAUGAAAUUAGAAAAAUCCUAAAACAAAAUUGAGGAUCAAAAUGAAAAAAAACUUUGUUUUUCACUAUUCAUUACUACAGUGAAAAACAAAGCACCUUUACCAGACGUGAAUGAUGAGUAAAUGGUGGGCUGGACCAUUCCAUCCAAAUUUUUAGAAAGGGUCCAAUUUCGUAUGUUUUUGGUGCUCUUUCCUAUGAUUCUCAACUCAUACUAAAAACUUAGAGAGAGGAAAAUAGAUUAACAUAAGAUUAUAAAUGUUAUCCCCACUCAAAAUAAGAUAUAAAUCCUCUUCCCGAGAAUACCAAAAAUCACCAUCUCGCUCCUUUUCCUUUAGGCAUUUCAAUUUCAAAUUAGUUCGAUAGCCAAAAAGUUGCUGCUCAUAAGCCUAAUGCUUGUUCUAAAAAAACAUCAAUCGACCUGUACCUCCACUUAGUUUCGCCCAAUCUUUAUCAUGGUUAUAUAUAGACCCCUACCAUUCAUUUUGAACAACAGAAAGUGACUAAUCAAGUUUUUACAACAAGCUUUACAAGGAGCUAUAUCAAUUCCUAAUAGUAAGAGUAGUUAAUCAAGUUCAACCUCUGGCGUUCUUGUCAUGAACAAAAGAGUGGUAGGGCAAACGCUAACAAAGAGAUCGUGAUCAUUUGGGUAUAAGAAAAAGUCGUUAUAUGGCUUGUUUAUCUUAUUUUACUUGAGUUAAUUAUUUAAUUAGAUGGAGUUAUGGAUUGAAAUUAAAAAAAAAAAAACUAAAAGGUGUAAGUUAAAUACUGCUCACCCCAUAUAUAAGCAAUUUAGAUUGAAGCAAUGUUUUCUCUUUUUUUUUUAUGUUGCGAUGUUGAAAGAAGGUUUUGGUGUUAAAUGAUGUUUGAUCACACAAAAUCAACUUUAAUUUUCUUCAUUAAACAUAAUUAGAAGUAUAAAGAUCGAAAUUGACACCCAAACAAAAUCCAAGACUUUUUUUAAAAAAUAAUGUAGCCAAGGCGUAUUUUUAGCUUUUUAGUCCCUUAAGUUUUUUUUUUCAUUUUAAUCCUAUUUAACAAAAUUUUUACAUUUUAUUCCAACAUUUCAUUUCCUUUAUAUUUCAGUUUUUGAGCUUGAGAGAGGAAACAGGGGUCCCCGAAAAACAUGAAAGAGAGAGAGUUUUGGUUGGCUCAAUUCUAUCCAUGAAAAAGAUCGAUCUUGGUGUUAACAAGUCCUAUUUGAUGAGAGGAAUUUCAUUGAUAUAUUCUUUGGCCUUCACCUUACUUGAAAAGGUAGAUAUAAGCUAAGAAAAGUUUUUUAUUCCAGAUUGGUUUUGCAUUUCUUGCCAAUUUUUUGGUUGUUUUAGAGCCAUAAAUGAAUUUGUUCAAGUAUCUAAGGUGUUUUUAGGUGUUUUCAAGUAAAAAAUAGUUAAAAAUUAGAUUUUUGCCACUUUUUGACGGUCAUACUAUGAACUAUACAUGACAUGUGGUUUGUGUCAUUUUAAAAAAAAAUGAGCGGAUAACGCAUCUCCAGCCUAAUUUAAUAAAAAAAACUUAAGGCUCAUGCCCAUGAGUUGACAGGAUCACAUGCCUAAGCUUUUUUUAAAAAAGGCUUAGACAUGUUGGGUCACUCAGACCCGUGUGCCUAGCCUUUUUUCAUUUUCUUUUUAAUUUUAUUGUUUGAUAUUGAGCUUUUUUUUUAAUUUUAUUAUUCAUCAUUUGCUUUUUUUUUUAAUUGAUCUUUGUGUUCUGUUUUUGCUUGCUUUUCUUAGGAUUAUCGCGGUUUUGGACAAACAUCCUAAUAUUUGUUAGGUUUUUAAUUUUGCGAGCAUCUAUUUUUUAUCUAUAAUUAAAUAACAAAUAAUUUCAUAAAAAAAGUAUUGAACCCAGUUGGGUGCAUGACCUAGAUCGCUAGAUUGACAUUUUAACCGGAGUUCUCUUAGGUCUUUUUUUAUUCUUUUUUUUAACAUAAUUUAUUUUUUCACUUUCGCCUUUGUAAUACUAAGUUGAUUGAAAAUUAAACUUUGUAAUUUAUAUCAACUUGCUUUUUAUGAGUUAUCACGGAUUCAUAAUCCGAGUUGCGAGUUUAAUGGAUUGACCUAGAUCUAUCCAAUAUGCGACUAUUUUCAAAAGAUAUCAUCUCAUAUAUUAUUGUCUCGGUAUAUAAAAAAUAUAUCUAUGUCACUACCAGAAAAUUGAUAAAUACAAACGGAAAUACCGAGGGAAUAUUUCUGUCGGUAAAUUUCCGAGGGAUUUUACCGACGGAAAUAUUCCCUCGGUAUAUACCGAGGGAAUUACCGUGGGAAAAAAAAUUAAAACAAAGCAAAAAAAAAAUAAUGACGUGUCAUUUUUACCAACGGAAUUACCGACGGAAUCACCGACGGAACAAAUUCCGUCGGUAAAUUGUGAACACUGUUCAUCAUGUUAAUUACAAAGGGAAUCACCGACGGAAAAUUCCGUCGGUAUUUUCCAGAGAGUAAAUCACCGACGGAUUGAAAAGUCGUCGGUGUUAUUUGGCGGUUUUCUGAAAAAAUUCAAUUAAUUUAAAAUUUUCAUUUAAAUAUUACAGACGGAAUCACCGACGGAUUGAAAAAUCGUCGGUAAUUUUUUGGCGGUUUUUGAAAAAAUUUUACGAAAUUGAAAAUUUAAAUUAAAUAUUACCGAUGGAAUUACCGACGGAAUAAUUAAAAAAUAUUAAUAUUUAAUUAUCCGUUGGUAAAUCCGUCGGUAAAGCGUCCCAAUAAAAAGCCUGAAUGCCCUUAUCUCACAAGAGACAGACCCGUUUCUUAUUCUUCUUCUUCUUCUUCUUCUUCUACUUCUUCUUCUUCUUCUUCUUCUUCUUCUUCUUCACUAUAUGUAAAAAACAUCAUUAAGGUAUGUCUUCUUCUUCUUCUUCACUUUAUGUAAAAAACAUCAUUUCUUAUCUAUUUCUUUCUCUUCUUUUCUCUCCUCAUCUCCUUCUCUUUUCCUCCAUGUUUGGGUAUGUCUUCUUCUUCUUUCUUCUUUUAUCCUCUUAGUUUUUUUUUUUAAUUAAUAUGCUUAAUGAAAUUUUUUUUCUCUCCUUAGCUUCACUUGCAACUACAUUAAGGUAAGAUUUUUCUUUUUUCUUCUUUUUUCAUGAUUUUUUUCACUAUAUUUGUUUUUUAUUUUAUUUUUAAUUGUUUUUGUUCUUAAUAAUUGUAUAAAUGUUGUUGUAUUUAUUUUUAUUUUAUUUUUAAUUGUUUUUGUUCUCUAAAUUCUUCAUAGAAUUAAUUUUUUAGUUGAAUUAAUUUUUUUAUUUUAUUUAUUUGUUGCAAAUUUGUUUGAAUUGAUUUUCUUAUUCUUUUUUCCAAGCAUUUUGAGUAUAUAUUAUACAGUGUUAAUUUAUGUUAAUUUAAUUAUUUUAUAAUUUUAUAAAAUGAAUUUUUUUUUAAAUGUUUUUCAAUAAUUACCGACGGAUUUACCGACGGAAUUAUUCCGUCGGUAAUUCCGUCGGUAAAUCCCUCGGUAAUUCCGUUGGUAAUAAAAAAAUUAUUACCGACGUGUCUGUUCCGUCAGUAAAUCCGUCGGUAAUUCUAUUACCGACGGACAAAACAUUACCGACGAACUAUUCACCGACGGAUCAUUUCCGUCUUUGAUUCCGUCGGUAAUAUAAUUACCGAUGGAAUAUGUGUCUUAUGUGUCUUAUACCGACGGAAAAAUUCCGUCGGUAAAACUGUUAAAUCUUAUAGUGUGUAUCCAGGGGUGGAAGGAAGGGGGGGCCCGGACCCCCCCUGAAAUAUUCUGCCCCUGUAAUAUAUAUGGAAAGUAGUGGAGUGUUCGCUUCAGAUUCCCUUCAUUUUCACUAGAUUAUUAAAUAAUGUGUGCCCGUAUCUUUCUGGGCAAUUCAUAUUAAUAAUAUAUAUAUAUAUAUAUAUAUAUAUAUAUAUAUAUAUAUAUAUAUAUAUAUAUUAUUAGGUAAUUAAGUGUGGAGAAGGUUUUUUAUUUUACAAAGGUGAGUUUUCUUAUUGUAAUUAAGUGUGAUUUUUCAAUUUGAUUUUUUUAAAAUUAAUUUACGUAGCCCUAAUAUAAAUCCUAUAAAGAUAAAAUUAUUACUUUGCUCAAUAAAUUCUGCAGCCGGUCAAAAACAAAAAUAUAAAUAUAAAUCAUAAGUAAAAUUUUUCAACGGAAAGAUUGAAGUAGAGCCAUCAAUUAAUUUAUUUUUCAUCAAACAAACAAGGUAACUUAAAUUUAAAAUCUAUUUUUAUUUUAUUUUGAGAUGUUUGUUAAUAAUUUGAUGAGGUUUUUUUUUUAUAUAAUUCUAUCAUUUUUUCUUUAUUUUUUUCUCAGAUCUGCUAAUUUUACAAAUUGUUUUUUGAAUUCUUGUUAUAGUGCUUUUUUUAAUUAAUUAGAUAUAUUUUAUUGGUUUGUUUUGAUUAUACUUUGAUUUUUUUUAUGUUUUGUUUUUAGCAGAAUCACCAAAAUUAUCAAUUUUUUCUCACGAUAUAUGUUUUGAUUUUAGGUUGAACCAUGAACAAAAUAAGAAGAAUUUGAUUUUUUUUUUCAAAAAAAAUAUUGAUAACUCGCAGCCUAGUGAACCAACUCCAAUGUGUAAUGUUAAAGUUAUGGUUGAGCAACUCCAAUGCGCCUCAGUUUACAAAGAACCCGCGUUAAUUAGUGAGAAUAGUUCUUUAUUAUUUUUUGCUUUAUUUCAAAGUUUAUCGAACAUAAAUAAUACUUCGUUUUAGCUAAUGUUUCUUAUAUACUUUGUAUGUUUAUAUUUGAUAGAUAUAAAGACCAACAACAUUAAAGUGAUGAAUAUAUUAUGAAGAUGAAAUUAACUUCGUUGCUUUGACUCAAUUUGGUAUUUCUUCGAACCUUUUACCUUAUACAAAGAUCAUUAUAUAUUUAUAGUAAGUUAUUUGAAUAAAACUAAAUUAUACAGGUUUUUUUUACAACUCAUGUACAAUAAAAUAAAAUAAAUAUUAUAUUUUAUUAUAUUAAUUAUGGCCCCUCUAACAAAUAAUUCUAGCUCCGCCCCUGUAUGUAUCUAAUUUUGAAUUCAUUUAAAAAAAAAAUUCUUUUGAAAUACACGUUAGCCACGUCUGAAUAAUUUGUUCAGACCCAUGGUAUAAUGCAAACCAAUAAGCUAAUAAAUUGGACACGUGGUAAUCUAUGCUAAACACAACUACGAUUAUUAGAAGUAAACAUAAAAUAAAUCUUUUCUAGGAAUUUUCUAAUGUUAACAGAUAGGAAAAAUAUAUUGUUUGAGACUUCUUUUCUGAGAAACAAUUACAUCCCUAGAAAAGUACUUUCAAAGAGAAAAGCUUUUUUUUUUAAAAAAAAAAAUGCUCCGUAGUGAAAGGUAUAGUCCAUGAACAGAAUGCCGACUGGAAAUAAAAUCAUAAACUUAGCGGUCACUCAGGCCCCAAAAAAUUAAAAAUGAAAUAGCUAGGAAAUUAAUCAAUGCAGGUAGAAGUUGACACGACAUUAAAUAUUAGCCACUAAAAUUGAGAAAAAUCUAUGGUUAAAAAUAUAAUAUAAUACUAGUUAUUUUUUAAAGUGUUUUUUAUUUUAAAAAAUAUUAAAAUAUUUUUUUUUAUUUUUUUAAAAUUAUUUGUUAUAUCAGCACAUCAAAACGAUCCAAAAACAUUAAAAAAUAUAUAUAAUUUAAAGUUAAAAACAAAUUUAAAUUUUACCAAAAGUAUUUUUAAAAAAUAAAUAUACACUUAGCAGAUCCAUCAUAAGAACUUGACCAUUAUUAAGACUAUUUUGCAAGUAAUAUUAACUUUUGCGAAGCAUGGAGAAGAGAUAAGGUUUCACUUUCAAAUUCGAGUUUCAAGAAUCGAAGUGCACUCCGUGUGUUCAUAUUCCAGAGGGAAAAACUGAACAUGCCUGCUCAUGUCUUGUUGACAUUUGUUCAAGUUUUGAGUGAAAAAAGAAAAAAGAAAACAGAAUUGAGACAGAGAGUGAGAUAGAAAAACCUAAAUUGUCUCUUUCCUUAAAAAUACAUGGCCAAGUUCAGUUAACCGAGGAGCAAGGAUAGUGAUAUAUCCGUUACCUGUCAAAGUGACUAUUCAAUUCUAUCAAAUUGAAGACAAAUAACGAUCCACGUUGAAUGAGUAGAUAUUGACCACUCAUGACUCUUAAUCUUGGUGUUGAAUUUGGAAUAAUCAAAUACCACGUGACGAAUGGUAUGCUUGCUGCCGAAGUUUCUUGGUUCAUAAAUAUUUGCCUUACAGGCUAGUCGUUCGAAACCAGAGAAGAGAUGCUUGCUUGAAUAGAAACUAUCAACAGAUGAAUUGAUUAUUUACUGAUUGCUAGUAACUAAUUUGUUAGGCCGAGAGUAUGACGUUAAUUAGAUAUUUUUAGUUAAAUCACAAUUCGAAAUGUAAGACGCCUCCGAAUAAUAGUAGAUUAGAUCACAAUCCGACGAGGAAAUAAUAUUUUCAACCAGCAAAGUACGUUGUUAAUAAUGCUUUACAAGAGGAAAUUCGGUGGAACGAGUAGAAGAUAGGGACGAUGAAACAAUAAAAUAUUAUCCUGUUCGUCGAAGGAAUUGUUUCUUAACGAAGAGUGGUAGCCAUACUCCACCUAAUCCAAAUAUCAUUAGCUGUAAAGAGUUAUUUUCUCGAGUCUUGAACUCAAAUGAGACCCUAACAGUGUUUUCAAGAUGAAAUGUAAGACCCUUUUCUUAUUCUACUGCCCCCUGUUUACAGAGAUACUUUGCAAUUUGCAUAGGUCCGCCACUUGUCAGUUUCGAAGAUUGCUGAUAUUAUUAUCUUUUCGAAUGCUAUCUAUCCCAUUUGCUUACCAUUUAUUCUUAUUAUUUAUAUACCCAACAAGAAUGUUCCUGCAUGACUGAAAUUCGAUUAACACAUGCACAUUGAUUUUUCAAAGGACGAAAAGUAUUGUCUAGUUACUGUUUUAGGAUAAAAAUCAAUUAAAAAAAAAAUAUUUGAUUGAAGAAAUAUAAAUAAAGAUAUAAAAAUAAAUUCAUUUCUAGAAUAAUUUUAAAAUGAGUUUCUAUAUUUUUAAAAUAGAAAGUAUAGAAGAGAUAUGUCUACAAUGAUAAUAUUUUUUAUUCUUAAAUAUCCUUGUAAAAAACUUUCAAUUCUAAAAUUAUAAAACAAAAACGUGUAAGAAAAAAAAUGACUAUUAUUACAGUUUUAAAACUCAAUUCAGAGGUCGAUUCGGGACAAAGCCAUAGUCAAUGAUAGAGGCCCGGGUUAGUGUUAGAAUAAAAAUGAUUAUUAUUAUAGUUUUUAACUUGAUUCGGGUGUCGAUCCAGGGCAAGAUCCAAGUCAUGAGUAGGGUUGAGUACCAUUGAUCCAGGUCAAUAUAAAAACAAAAAUAGUUAUUAUUAUAGAUUUAAAAUCCGACUUGAGGUUCGACAUGGGGCAAGGCUGGUGUCACGUGUUAGGAGGAUCAACUUCAGUUGAUCCAAGUCAACAUAAAAUAAAAAUUGUUAUUAUCAUAGUUUUAAAACUAGAUUCUAGGGUCAACACAGGGCAAGGCCCCAUUACAGACCAGGAGGGUCAACCCGGGUUGACCCGAAUCAACAUAAGGAUAAAAAUUGUUAUUAUCAUAAUUUUAAAACCCAACUCAGGGGUCAACCAGGACAAGAACCAGGUCACAGAUCGGGAGGGUCAACACAGGUUGACAUAGGUCAACGUAUAGAUAAAAAUAUUUUUUUAUUAAAAAAUAUUUUUUUUAUAUUUUCAAAUUGUUUUGAUGUGCUGAUUUUAAAAAUAAUUUUUUUAAAAUAAAAAAAAUAUUAUUUUGAUAUAUUUUUAAAUAAAAAAACACUUUAAACAGUUAUCAUAAUUCUUAAUAGAUAGAAUAUGUUUAAUUAGUGUUUGAAAACACUAGUUUUAUUUAUCAAUAAAUUUUGGUGACGAAUGCCUUGUUGAACUGCAGCAGUGCAACUUAACUUUUUGUGCAGAUCUGGGUAUUUUUACCCAAAACAGAGAAUGAAGCAAUUUUUUACUCUGUUUAGCCGAGUCUCUGUGGAACCAUGUUAAAAAAGUAUUUCAACGAACGGCAGCAGUCACCUCGUUUUUUUUUUUUUUUUUGUUCCAUUGAUACUUAUUUAUGUGGUAUAUCAGGCCCACGUACAAGAGAGAUACAACAAUCUUCAAUCCCUUUACAAGGGAAAAAGGGAGAAAUGAGAAGAGAAAAAAAGAAAAAUACACAUGUAGAUUCAGCAUAUGAUCAAUCCUACCAUUUCAAUAAAUUUCAUGGAAGGAGAAAAAAAAAUGAAAUAUAUAAAAUCAAGAUACUUCACCAAGGACUCGUAGCCUUUCCAGAUGAAUUCAACAGUUGUUCCAAAUAAUCAGCACCUAGAUCUUCCAAAACGACUACAUUUUCUAUCCUUGCAUUCCUCUCUUUCUUGCCCCUGCUUCCCAAUUUCCUUCUCAUGGAGUACUUUCUCUUUAGAGCCACCACAGGUGAGCACCCAUCCUCAUAAUGAUGACUACACUUCAUAUCCUUAAGCGACUCCCUCACUCUUUCAACUGGGAAAUUUAGUAUAGUCCCAGGUCCUCUCAUCGAAAAAGCAGCUUGAUCAUAAGCCAAAGCAGCUGCUUCUGCACUGUCAAAUGUGCCUAACCAUACCCUUAUGCCAUUCCUUGUGGAAUCCCUUAUCUCCGCUGCGAAUUUGCCCCAUGGCCGCCUCCUAACACCCCUGUAGGACUUUUCCUUGUCGGGAGUUCUUUUGGCAACUGAACUGACCUCUUCUUCCUUAACAAUUCCAUUACAGAAAGUUGUUCUUGAUGUUUCUUGAGUGGCCUCCGAGAUUAGUUCAAAAAGAAGCAUUUCGUCGGAGUCAUUUUCAUUGAAAGGGAGAGAACUUUGGUUAAAAGAUUGGCUAUAAAAAGAGUCUGGUGAUCUAAAACAAGAUUCGGAUGAGAAAUCAGAAUUUGCAGAGUGAAAGAUGGAGGCAUCCAUUUGAAUUGGUUGGGGAUUUUUGGUUUGUGUUUUCUGUGGCCUCUUUGUUUUCUUGAUGUCUAUUGGGGUAUGCAAAAUUUGAAGUCUUGUGCUCUUUAUAUACCAACAAAGGGUGGCAGUCAGGUAGGCAGGAAUUUGAGCUUUGACAGUCAUAAGAGUGAAUGAAGUAUUUACCUAAAAUGGUAAAGAAAAGUGAUCUACUAGUAAUACUAGUAAUGAGUAAGUUAUUAAUUUGUGAUAGUAGUUGUUUUUUUAAAUAUAUUUUUUAAAAAAUAUUUUUAAAUGGAAAAACAAAUACAAUCUAAAUUAAUCUAAAUAUCUUUUUUCCAAUUGAUAUUUAUUUGCAAUUAAGUUAUUUUGCUCUUUAUUUAUUAUGCAAGAUCUCAAUUUGUUUUUUUUUUUAAAGAUUGUAAGAAAAUCUUUUGUGAAUAUAUCACGUGGAUAUUCUACAUGAAAUUUAGCACAUGAAAAAUAAUUAAAUCUCAAUUUAAAAAGCUAGUCUUAUUCAUAAAAAAACAAAAUAUCCUAAAUAACAAAGAAAUUGGCCAAACUCCAAAGUGAAUAUGAUGGCAAUAUGUUUAAUCAUUUAAUUAAGUGUGGGAUCCGCAUCGCCUAUGGGCUUAAAAUUGCUGAUUUGUCAACUGAAGAUAGAUUGCCAGGUCAGAACGGCAUUUGUGAUGACAUCAUCCCAAUGAUCUCAGUUUUUGUCUGUCUCAGAUUUGGUGGACGGCCUUUCAAACCCGGUUUGGUCCGACGGGUUGAUCUGAGACCCGAUCGAUCUGAGACUCGAACCGGAUUGGAUUAAAAAAAUAGAUGAAGAAAAAACAAGGUAUGACCCGGUGACCUGGUUGACCAGGUAAGACCCGAUCAAAAACCCAGUUGCAACUUGUUGACUUUUGUUUUUUUUUUUUACUAAAACGACAUCGUUUUAAUUUUUUUAAAAUUUUUGGCCUGAGCAACCCGGUGACCCGGUCAAAACCCAAAACCUGAGCCUUGGACCGGCUAGGUUCUGAAAACUAUGUUGAAUGGAGCCUUGUCCACUUGUCAUCCACGCGGAAGAUAAUGGUUUUUUUUUUAGAUGUAUAAUUAAAUCUAAUCUAAUUUUUUAUAUUUAAAAAAUUAUAAACCUAAAUUUAUUUAUUUUUUAAAUCUAUGUGUGUUAGAUAUAUAUGAUUAAUUUUUUUUAAUAUUAUAUAUAUUAACAAGUUUGGCUUUUUUUUUUUUAUGUAUUAAGCUUAAUUAAAACUGAGAUUUAUGUUUAAUAAGUUAAUUCGUGUUAUAGAUUAUAACAAAUAAUUUUAGCUUAAUAAACCAACUAAAUCAAUUGACUAUAAUAAAAGAACCAAUUGAGAAAAAAUAAAUAAAUAUAUAUAUAUAUAUAAUAAUAAAUUAAGUUUGUUGUUAUCGAAUUUAUGAGUUAUGUUGAUUUAAUCAAGUUUCAAAAAAUUUAAUGAAUUAUUUAAAUUGUAAUAUUUAUUUUUUAAAAAAUUUAGUUGGCUAUUAUUUAUAAUAUUUAUAUUAUCUAAUUUUGAAUAGAUAAGUUUGGAAAAUAAUAUAAAUAUUAAAUAAAAGGUUUUUUUUUACACCUCUAAUUUUCAUAUGCUUUCUUAUAGUAAUCGGGAUCGUGACAAAUCAGGUUUGGCUGCUGCAUGUUCCCUCGAAAAUGGUCUCCACCAUAGUCUCCACUUGAGAAGCCAUCUCUUCCGUCGGUUAGUUACUUUGUUUCGCUGCCAUGGCUUGACCUUACGAGUAUCUACAGCAAAACAAAAAAGGGUAGCAUAUGUAUAAUUACUUAAUCCACUCCAAGUAUUUUUCAUAUAAAAAUAAAGAUUAGAUACGAAAAUGUGAAUAAACUUACUUCAAAUUCAAUAAUAAAAUUACCAUAAUUGUGGUUUUCAAUUUUCAAAAAUGGAAGAAAUUCCAAUUUUUGUUUUUCCAUUUAGAGUUAUAUAUCAUCAAUGAGCAUUAAAAAAGGUUUGUGCAAGCACUCAACUAGGAUAAGUACGUUUGAUGUGAUAAAAUUAUUUAUCAAAUAAAAAACAAUUCUAUGUGAUAAAAUUAUGUCCCUUUAAUUUUCUUGAUGAAAAAUAAUAUUUGAAACCCAGUAUUCAAGUGCAGGGCGUUAUUGUAUUUGUAUAUAAGCAAACAACUUUCGGAUAUUCUAUAAGCCAAAGACCAAAAAAAAAAAAGCAUUUCAUUUUGAGGGGGAAAAAAGAAGAAAAAGAAACCAAUUUUUUUAUUCGUGUUUAAAGUUUUUCUGCAUGAAUGAUUUCUUGGUUUCGCAAUAUCUGUUUUUUUUUUUUUUUUGAGAUUAUGGAUUAAAUUACAAUACUAAAAGAGUUAAAAAAAAAUAAAAAAUUCAAAGUUUAAUAGUGUUUUAAAACUACUUUAUUCAUUAAUCAAGAUGAAUAUUUUUUGAGCGAUUUUAAGGGUAGAUUCUUAAUAAUUGAUCUAGUGUAUUCAGAGGACAAAAGAAUUCUAAAUACUAACUUGAAAGUUUAUAUCCAGAAAAUUAAAAAAAGAAGAAAAACAUCUUUGAACGCGAAAUGUACAUGAUUAUAUUCACAUGAAUAGGGACUUUCUUAGUAACUUCCGAUUUGAUGUUGUUGCGUUUUGUUACGCCUCUCCUCUCUCAUCUACUAUGAAACAUUGGGAUUCAUGUGAAUUGAUUUCGUGAUCAUAAUCAUAAUCUCCAGUCAACUCUGAUGAAAACUUCUUCUAAUACAUGUAUAAUACAUAUUACUUCACAAAAAACAAGUAAAAGAGCUGCAAACUUUUCCUUAAAGAUUGUUUAUCUACUAUCGGUGAUCCGAACGUAUUAUUAUCCUAGAUAUAGAGCCUAUGGAUCAUGAUUUUGAAAAUUAAUUUUGUGAUUUUGAAAUGGUCCGGAUACACGCCCCCUUGAAACCCAAGGAAAUAUUUCAAAGUCGCCAAAACUGGGAGAUAAUUGUUGAAUGUUUGAAAGUCUCCCAGAAAGAAUGGAUACUAUUUUGUGGAUGGUGACCACCUCUUCUCUUCUUUAACGCACAAGAAGCUUUGAUGUUCACGCAUGAUACGCAGCUUCUUGGAAAGCCCGUUUCAAGAGAGCGGUCUUUUCAGAUACAAAUUGAUCCAAUAAAAUUUGGAAAAUUCUUAUGUCUUGACUGAGAACACCAUUAAAAUCUUGUUUUUCAUGUGGCCCUAUAUAUUUUGCAGUACUUUCAUCUGUAAAUAUUCUUCGGUCUGUUUUUUCUUCCUUGUUCAGAUACUACUGAAUUUUGUGUGUCUAGCAAUUUUUAAUUAUUGUCCCAAUGCGACAAGGGCAGAAAUCUCUUCUUUGCUAGCCAGCGCGCAAGUCCUCGUCAUUUUUACAUCAUGCAUCUUUGUGCAUCUGAAUGAGAAGCUCUCCACUGCUAGAAAAGGAAAAAGGCUAAUUGAAAGAGACUAAAUUAUAAAUACCAUACAACAUGUCCAUAGAAAUCAGAACAAAGACAAAGGUAAAAGGAUACUCAGAGGUUCUUCAUAUGUAAAGAUUGACAUCAGCUUUGGAAGAAAAAGAAAAGUCUGGUUUCCACUCCCCAUUUUCUUUCCAGAUCCUGACCUGUUCAGAUAGUGAGAGUAACAUAUGUAUAUAUAUAUAUACACACACACAGCAUCAGUGGUCUCUACUCUCAACAACCACCGCUUGGCCUUUUAUUCUGUUUCGUAACCACAAAUAGCAUUAGAAAAAGAAAAGAAAAAAGAGGAUCUAAUUAAGGCAGGAGUGACACUACUACUUGACUGCUAGUUAGGCGAGCUAUGAUGCCAACAGAUUCACGGUACAUAGUCGAUUUGUAGAUGUUCACAAUUCUCUUUGCGUCCAUGUCAAGGCCCCACUACCAGUGCUCUUUCCACUAAGCCAACGACCUAUUCUCGGCGGUCUUAUUCGAGCCAUCCCACAACCUGUCCGGCUAGAAACAUCGGUAGUUCCCCGUUGCUCACAGAAUAUUUCCAGCAUAAUGUUUGAAAUUCGACAAAAAUAAUUUACACCCUUGCUAUUGUAUUGGCAUUUGCAAAACUGGGUCAUCUAAAGAUAUUUGCCAAUUUGAAAGGAAAAAAAAAGAGUGCAAAUAAUAUUUUAGGUUCUAUUUGAUAUGCUUUCUGAAGAGUAUGAAAAUAAAUAUUUUACAGGUAUUUUCUAUAAACAAUUUACGAUAAAAUAAUUCGAAAUGGAAGUAAAUUAACUCUUUUGAAUAAUAAAGACGACAUAAGUAAGAAUUAAUAAAUUGAAAAUUAAAGAUUUUGACUUUUGAUCAAAUUUUAAAACGAUUUUUUCUAUUCAAAUGAAAAUUAUUUCUGUCUAAAAAUAAUCGUAACAUUCUUUGAAUCAGAUUAAAAAUAAUUUAAAUCGAUAUAUAAAAUUUAUAUAUAGCAGAUAGAACCUUAAUCUACAAUAUCAAGAUUAUAUCAAUUUUAGUCAUAUUGGAUAAACCACCUUUUUGCUCUCUGUGUUCGUGGCAAUUAUUGAUGGUCUUACUCCCUGUGUUUUUAAUUCAUCUCAAUCAAUUAUAUUGAGGGACUAGAUUGUAUUUUUACAAAUGUAGAGACUAAAAUUGAACCUUCUUUUUUUUUCUUAGAUAAUUUCGUCCACAGCCCCAAAUCACAAAUAUCUCCCAAACAAUAUUACAAUAUUUAAAACCAUAUUUAAAAGAACUAAAUUCAAUAAUUAAUUUCAACAAGGAGAAAUUUGGUGCUCUUCUAAUGUGCAAUUAUUGAUUUGACCACUUGACUAACAUUCUCAAUUUUGAUACCAAUCGACCAAGUUUGAAAUGCAUGAAGGGUAAGACAACCAAUUACUAUAAACAUAGAUGAUAAAAAGGCGGUUUUGCCAUUUUAAUGCAAUUGUUAAAUAUCAAUAAAUUUUUUUUUUAUAUUCCUUUGUUGAAAAUAUGGCAAAACAAAUUGUAAUAUCACAAUAUAUAAUCGUUGGUUUUGCACGACACCAUGGAUUAGAUAAAUUAUUUUUUAAAAUAUAAAAAAUAUCUAUGCAUUGCUAAUGUGUUUUUUUAUAAAUUAAUAAUAAAUUAAAAAUUUGUUGUAUAUUGGAUGAUAUUUUUUUUAAUAUUGAGACGGUUACUUUUUGAACAUAUUUUUUUUAUAAAAAUUAAAAUAGUAACAUAUUAGAUCAACUUGGAUCAAAUUGUGUUCCCUUGCGAAACUCAUAGGUCAGGUGAUGAGACUGUUAAAGUUUUAUAAAAAACAAAUUAAAAAGUUCAAUUCUUAGUUAACUUAACGUUGAAGGAUAAAUUGGUAAAAAAAAUAUUAAUUUUUUUUAAAAAAAUCUAAGUGAAUCCAGGUUAACCUAUAAAAUACAUGACCCGGGUCAUGCACCUCACCGAAUUUAAUAAUUUAUUUUAUCUCUUAGAUUGUUUUUCAUUUAAUUAUACAAUGACUAGGUGUGUGAGAUUUUUUUAUAUAAAAUAUUUUUUAAAGAAAAAAAAAAGAACAGACAUGUGGGAAUAAAAUAACAAAAACAUGCCAAAAUUUUAAAAUUAAAUAACCAAAAGAUAUAUUUUUUAUUUUAAAUUAAAUAAAAAACAAACAAUCAAAUAACAAGGAAAGAAAUGUUUUAUUUCUCUUUUAUUUUGAGGGACUCAAAAUGCAUUAAAUAACAAAAAACAAAUGUUAGGCAUGUGAGCCAACCCACACACUUGCCUAUAAAAAAGGCCUGACCCAUAUGCUAAAUCUCUUUUUUAUUAUUAUUAUUUUUUAGAACGCGUCGUGCAUCCCUACAUUGUUUUUUUUCAUACAUGAACAAUACAUCAUCUGUAACCCUAAAAUUUGGUGACCAUAAGGUUACUGGAAAACUGAGAUAGAGGUUUCUUUACUUUAAAAAAAUAUCCUAAACACCUACAUAAACAACAAAAAUUCAAACAACAAGAAAAUCAAUUAAAAACCUAGCAAUCAAUCUGAAUUAAAAAAAUCUCUUUAGCUCAGAUCUACAUUCUCAAACAAUGAAAAGGGUAAAGAACACCUAGGGGAAACCCCUAAUUGAAUGGAAUCCAUUGACACCAAAAUCGACUUUUUUCAUGAUUGAAAUCAAUGACAAUCGAAACUCUUUUUCACCAGAAUCCAACGACUCUCUUUCUCCUCUCUCAAAUUAGAAACUAAAAAACAAGGAAAUUUUUUGUAUCAAAAUUGAAUUUUAGAAAACUAAAAGGACUAAAAAUUGAUCAUUUGAAAAGUAGGAGGACUAAAGUGAAUUUUUAAUGCCAAUUUUGAAACCCCAACCUAGUUUCAUUGCCCCUUUUCACUUUACUUCUCUUUCUUUCAAUUCUGCUACCAGUUAACAAAUUAGAAGUAAUUGCAUAUCAAUUUUGCAAUUGAAUGACUCAAUCGAGCAGAAAAAAUAUUUGAUGAUAAAAAAAAAAAAAUCAUUACUUGAAUCCACGGUGAAUUGUGAAGAGAGUGCACUUUAUUUUCACCCCACCUCUUAGUUCUUUACUAGCUAUAGGGCCGUGCUAGGUUGCCGGCUGCACUUAUUUUUUUUGCAUCAAAAAAAUAUUGAAGUUAUGAGAAAAAUUUUGGUGGCCAAUGCGUUAUUAUUGUAAUCUCUUGGCCUGUCUCCUUGCUUAUAUUUAAUAAAACUAAAUAAAAUAUAAUAAAAUGAGUAUCUCAUACUUAUAUUUAAUUAAUCAAUUUAAUUUAAUUAAAAAAUAAAAUAUCUUUUUUAAAAAAACUAAUUUUAACAAAGAACGAUAAAUAAAAAGACUCGAUAUAACCCAAGUUAUUUUUAAAAUUAUUAAAAAAUCAUUUAGAAAUAAAAUAAAAAAUAAUUAUGGAGCCUAGUCUCCAAUUAAAUAAAUGUUGAAGGAUGAAUCUAUUUUAAAUAAAAUAAAUAAUUAUUAAAACAAAAGGGACAAAUAUGAAGGAAAAAUAAAUUAAAAGACUACUUUGAGAAUUUGUAGAUAAAACUCCAUGCCUCCAUUUCCUUGGAAAAUCACAAUCAAACCCUAUUUUUUCUUUUCCUUGUUAUAUGCUUCAUCUCUUGCUUCUGUUUGUUAUACAAAAAGGAAAAAAAAGUAAAAUAACUCACAGUUCACAGUACAUGUCUGAUUUCUUUUAGUUUUUUUUUUCUAAUUUAAUAUAUAUAUGUGGAAAGCAAUAAAUGACAACGAUCAAAGAAUAAAAUAGUGGACAUGUACAUGGACAUCUUAAUUUUUUUUUAAAAAAAGUUGGUGAAAUAAAACUGGAAUUCUAUUGACAACACACGCCGUCUAGGAAUGGAUAAAUUGUUAAGCUAAUUCGAACACCACCUUUUAAAUUCAAUGUUUAGUAGCCGGUCACCGCUGCAAGCAAUGCUCAAAGAGUGCAACCACUUCUUAGCCGCUUUUAUUUUUAAUCAUAUUUAUAUUUGUAAAAUUACAAUAUUAUGUUUCUAUCAUUUGAUAAUAACAAAAAAUCCAAAGAAAAAUUCAAAAAUACUCCUAAAUGUAAGUUAAAGAAAAUUUUAUUUUAAAAUGAUUUAAAUCAUUUCACUAUGCUCGAGAAAUAAAAAAUACAAAAACAUCUAUGUAUACCGGUUUAAAAAGAUUUUGAUUCUAAAAGAUAAAAUAGUUAUUUUACUGUGCAUUAUAAUGCGAAAAUACUGAAUUUUCCCUUUUUAAUCUUAAAAUAACUAAUAUAUCCAUGUGAAAUUAUUGAAUUACCAUCUAUAACUAGUUAUUUAAAUUUGUUUGGGAAGAGGCAAAACACCGUGCUUUUUAGAGUAAUUUCUUAUAUCGUUGAAGUGUAGAUUUUGUUCUCUCUUAUCCACUGAUAGAUCCAUGGCAAUGAUGUGGGAACAAACAACAAGACUUGCUUAAAUGCAUGCACUUUGAAAGGUGGGAGACAUCUAUGAUGUCAGAUGUCAUUUUCUAUCAAUUUAAACCAAGAAUCAAUAACAGUAAAAGUUCUUCUUCCUGAGUAAACUUUGAUCGAGAGCCUCCGCUUUUCAAUUCUUCAUUUAUUUAUUUUUUUAAUCAGUUCCACUCUUUUAAGUUGUAACAUUGAUCAUGGCAUAUAUUCCACGGUUAACAGAGGCUUCAAAACAUUCUUCGCAGAUUAAAGCAAAUUUAAUAAAGAGCGAAUCAACAAAAAAGGUAAGAUUAAUUGAAUCAGUCAAUCCAUUAAUCAAUAGCUUAAAGAUUCAAACUCUCACUGUUUCAGGGUACAUGAACCGGUACCUAAGCCUGAAAAAUGUAUAUAAAUAAUGUAACUGAGAAAAAAAAUUAUAUCAGUUUAGUUUUGCUUCAAUUAAGCGAGUGUUUGUCAAUGUGGUUAGGUAUUAAAUUAAUAUUUUUUAAUAUUUUUGAAUUGUUUUGAUGUAAAAAUAAAUAUUAAUUUUUUUAAAAAAUAUUUUUUUAAUAUAUUUUUAAAUAAAAUACUUAAAAAAAACAAUUUACUUAGUAUAGAAGAAAUUUCUAUCUCAAUCUCAGAUGUCCCCGAAGUCAAAACCAUAGUGCAGAAUAAUUAGUUGCAAGGUAUGUGUCCAUUACUGUGACAAUUUCAUGAGUUCAAUCUUGAUACCCUCUCUAUCCAACCCCAUCAACCUCAAACCCUUUAUGCUGUUCACAUUAUAAACAAGCUAAAAUAAUAUUUUUCAAUGCUACCACGUCUUUUUUUGUUUGGGACGAUGAAAAAGAAAGACUUUUCAUCGUUUAUGGCUGGGAUCAAUGUACCUACGAUAUCGAUAAGGUAGGUGGCAAAUCAUAGUUUUUAUCUUAUUAAUUAAGGUUAAUUGUUUUUUUUUAUUUUUUUGUAUUCUUGUGAUUUACCAGUAGAAACGCGUAAAAAUUACUAAAAUAUGUUUGAUCAUGAAUCUAAUCGAUUGGAUUACCGGGAAGAGGUGAAUUAUGCACCGCCGCCUCUAAGAAUUUUUUUUAAUAUGCACGUGGACUAAUUAAAGAUUUGGAGCCACCAGUCACAACACGUCUCACUUUUCUUUGUAUAGAGGUGAUUAUCAGUCAAGUCAUGUUCAAAGAAUUAUAUUAGUCAAGUUCAAAAAUUUUUUUCUUCAAUUUGAUCCAAACUUGAAGAAUUAUAGCUCAAUUUAGAUUGUUCUAGAAAACCUUAGGAACACCCGUAGCGUUAUUCUACACUUCUCCAAUUUGUUUAAGUUGCGCUCAUAGAAUUGGCUUCGACUUCUUCUAUUUGAGGAUUUAAAAUUGUUUAUUUUUAUCUUCAUUUGAAUUAAAUUUUCUUAAGUUUUGUCUUCAGGAUUUUUUGUUUAGUUUAUGAAGCAGUUUUUGACUAGUAAUUAAGAUUCAAAUUGAAGAAUUGAAAAACAAAUGAAGAAAAAGACGAGAUAUGGCUGGAUUGGGCUGGCUCAGCACUCGAAGCUGUAUCUCUGAAUGAUCUUCGAUCGCCUCCUCGAGAAUUGAGAUUCCAUGCGCGGAAAACUUUUGGGCAUGGACAUCCAUACAAAGUUGACCACUAGCAGAAGCAGUGUUUUAUUUUAAUUCAAAUUGGGAUAACUUGUUCUGGAAAAGUAUACUAUCAUUUUAAAUUGAUGUGUUGAAGAAACAUUGUUAUAGAACCAAGGGAUUGGUAGGCAAAGGCUCGUUAAAUUCGAAAUCUUAAGUUCGAAUCUUGUUGUUGGUUCGGCGUAGAAGUUGCAUUAUCACAUUUCGGGGCAUAAAAUAAUUCAUGUUUAUGGGCUGGGUUUAAAGCCCAAAAUUGAUUAGACAUGCUUUCCAUGUUAGAAAAUUGGAAUUCGAUAACUCAUGAUGUGGAUGGCCAAAUUAAAUUGAUUUAUAUCAAUAGUAUAUUUGUGUGCAUAUGCAGAUAAGUUUUUUUUUUUUUUUUUUUUUUUUUUUUAAGAUAUGUAACCUCUAAUAAAUUUAUUGUUACACAACAUUUUAUAAAAUUGAUUGAGUUAUAUCGGCUUUAAUAAAUAAAAAAACAUGUUAAAAUAUUAACACACUAAUUAUUAUUUUAGAUUAUAGUUUUCCAGUUAAAAAAAAAAGAUUUUUGUUUGAGUAACAAACUCAACUCAAUCAUUUACAGAAUUAUUUUAAUUUAGUUCAUAUUACUAGACUAGCAUAUAUAUACAUUUUUUCUAAUAUCAGGGCAUAUUAUCUAAAUACAAAAAUAAAUGGUUUUGAUAUACUUUUUUCACAUGUAGAAGAUUUUAAUAUACAUUAAAUGUGAAAAAAAAAAGUUCAUAUACCAGAUUACAUGAGAAUCCACUAUUAUUGUUAAAAACCUCUUAUUCCGCUAAUUUAUAAUUUCUUAAGGUAUAUAUAAUAUUCGAAUGAUUUAUAUAAAAAUACGGAUCAAAUUAACUCUAAGAGGGUCAUAAACCACUGCGUAUAAUGUAUUGGGAAGUGGAGGUUCUAUUAUAUAUCCUAUCUUUAAGUUUUUAUUAGGCUUGUCUCACUACUUGGAAAGUUAGCUAUUAAACCAGGAGGCGGCUUCUCUACCCACAAAUAAUUAAUUUUGACUGUUUAUGAUCUAGGCUUCUUACUUUUUGAUUAUGUUCUUGGCUUCCUUGCGCCUUUAGAAGAUGAUGAUUAUGAAGUCUUUAUAUUUUAAAGUGACAACACAAUUUUGCUCGUUUAAAUAAACCUUCUAAUUUCUUUAUAGAAAAAAGUAUUUGGUCAUUCAAAUAUAUGUGAUAAAACAUUUUAUGCUCAUUCAGAAAAUUAUGUUCUAAUCUAACUUAGAUUCUUUUAGGCUCUCAAAUUACCAUAAAAAUACUUUAGUUUUGGAAAUGCUUUAAAAGUAGGUAGACUACAUCCUAGAACCACCUCGAAGGCUCAUGAGUCACGAGACUCACGACACAUAAUUAAAGAAUAUAUACAAUAAUCUUAUUUUUUUUUAUAAAAAAAUACUGGAUAGAGUUGGAUAUCUGAUGGAUGUAAAACAAUCUCUUUAAAUCCAAUUUUAAUUAUUUAGAAAAAAAAGAGGGGGUUAGAAAAACUUGUUGCAUGAAAAUUUUAUUCUUGCAACAAAUCAGAUUGAAGAGCCAUGGAUACAAAUAAAUUGAACCAAAAAAAUCUCACAAAAUGGACCAAAAGAAUCCCUCAAAGUGGACCUAAAAAAUCCUCUAAAAAAAGUCCAAAAAACACACAAAAAACAUGGGUUCGAGUAUGGCAACACGAGCCCAAGCAGGAUGUACGUCCACCCAUCAAAAGCAUUGGACGCAUACCUAUGCAGGGUGUAUGCCAUUACCUUUGGGGGUUACUAAUUGAUCAAAAUAAAAUAGAUCUAAAACCCCCCCUAAAGUGGACAAAAAAAAAAUCCAUUAAAAGAGGAAAAAAAACCCAAACAACACACAAUGAAUAUUGGAUCAAGUAAGUAGCCCGAGCCUAUGCAUCUAGUGCAUAGGCGCAUGGAUGGCCAAUAUAUAGGCGCCAUGUAAGGCGUACGCCCAUGCAGUGCACUGGGCGCAUACUUAUGCAAGGCAUAUGCCCAUUCAAUGCAUAGGCGUAUACUCACCUGGUGUUGGGCAUGCACCCUAACGUCCUCUUGGGCUUAAGUUAUCUCGCCUGAGCCUAGUGUGUUUGGAUCCUGACAACGUGUCAAGACCUACUUCACCUCUAAUAGGCUUGAUUACCUUGCCUAAACACAACACUCGUCAGAGAAUUUUUCCCGAACCCAAUGUGAGUCCCUCAAUAUUUAUACUAAUUCGAGACAUUAUUUUAAGUAGGAUAUAACUCAAAAUAUCAAAAAGGUAAAAUUACAUUUCACCCCCCUUUUAUUCACAAAAAAACAAGACUCAUGGGCUAUAAAUACCCAUGAACCCUUCAAGUACUACGUUCACAAUCUCUUCAUUCUUAAUAUUUUCAGCAUAUAUAUUUCCAGAGCUUGUCUCUUUAAAACAUCAUUGUACUUUCUCUCUCCAUAAAAUUAUUGAUUUUAUCAUUAGAGAGUCCUCACGUCUAUCAAAUAAGACCUUUUACAGGAACCAGCUACUGAUCAUCUGACUUACCAAACACCAACUACUAUUAUUACUACUACAGUUACCAGUCACCUAACUUACUAGGCACCACUUCCUACUACCACAAUUACAGGUUACCAUGACUUACCAGGCGUCACCCGCUAUUAGUUACCAGCCCUCUAAACUUUUCAUAUCAAGCCACACACCUGAACUAGAAAAAACAAAUCAGAUUAAUUAAAUUAAGAGAUCAACUAAUUAUCCGCUACGUACAUCAAUUUUAUUCCAAAAUAUUUUAAAUUAUAGGAAUUAACAAAGAGGCAAGAAUCAGAACCAUCAAAUUAAGUAACAUAUCUAUACAAAGAGAUUUAUUACACUUUUAAAAUUCCAUUAUAGGAAAAGUCCAACAAUCGAAUAUAUAUGUAGAUUGCUCGAUGCGAGAACCUUCCUAGAAGAUGGUAUGUUUUUUUUUUUUUUUAAUUCUUCUAUAAUUUUUAUUUUAUUUUAUUUUAUUUAAAAAAAAACUCUAAAUCUAGAUAUUGUCAAACCACGUUGUGGAAAAUUCAAACAUCUAUCGUCAGAUAGUACAUCAGCUCCGAAAUACAUAUAUAGGCAUUCACCAAAUAAUAUGACUCAAAUACGACCAUCUUUGUCAAGAACCAAAUUUGAAACAAGGGCAUGGAAGAGCCUGAUAAAGGGAAGGAAAAGGAAUUGAAAGGGAGAGAAGAGGUUCGAUACCGGGGUGUUCGAAGGAGACCUUGGGGAAAAUUUGCGGCGGAAAUACGAGACCCAUCAAGGCAGGGAGCAAGGUUAUGGUUAGGGACAUUUGAUACGGCAGAGGAGGCAGCUCGUGCUUAUGAUAGAGCUGCAUUUAGCAUGAGAGGUCAUCUUGCAAUCCUCAACUUUCCUAAUGAUUAUCUCUCUCAAGCGAUAGGAUCUUCUCCUCGUCGUCCACCAGUUUCAUCAUCUAGUAGUGAUGUUGGUGCAAGCGAGAGUUUUCAGAGGGGAAGCUCAUCAAGUGCCGGACAAGGAAAGCAAGUUAUCGAGUUUGAGUACUUGGAUGAUAAGAUUUUGGAGGAGCUUCUUGAAACAGAAGAGGAGAAGAAGAAACGGCAGCAAGAUUGAGUUUUAGUUUUUUCUGUGCCUGUUCCUUUCUUUUUUUGUUCUUGAUUUAAGCUUAUUCAAGAAUUUUUUCAAGAAAAAUCUCUAUGAUUUUCAUAUUAUUAGUUCUUACUUCCACAAGAUUAAUAAGAUUGUUAGGGAUCCAUGAGUUACCCAACUACUGGGGAGAAAUGGCGUGCCUAAAUUAGUUGACAACGAUAAAUUUGGUAUGGAACUCUUGAAAUUUACAUGUAAUGAUACCUUGCCCCUUUGACUCAAAAAUAUGUUGAGCUGCUCACUCGUUGCCCCUCUUCAGCCGAGGGAGAGAUCACCCAUGCAAUACGGACCUUUUUCUCACCAAUCCAGUAAAUGUAAUUUUAAUUCCUAAGCUCAUAGCCUUAGCUUCUUUUCGUUUUCAUUUUUUUUUAACAUCUUACAAAGUUAAGGAAUUGAAAUCCUACCAAAUCAAACCAAAACUGUAUGGUAUGAAGUAUUCUUAGCAGUUGGUUAGUUUGACGAAUAAAGAUCAAAUCUUGCUCAUAUUCUCUCUGUCUCAAAGUUAUUGUCGUAUACAUGUCCCAAAACUAUUGCGUGUUAUCAAAUAAUUAAACUAUUAAUUACUUGAUUUUACUAUUAUAUUUGUAAUUAUAACUUUCUAUUUGAAUUCUUUCAAUCCAUGUUUUGCGAGAUUGUAAAUGGACCGAGAGUGUGCGGCUCAUUCUGGACAUUUGAAUCAUGUGGAUGGGUUUUUCAAUUGGGAUUGGGACGAGUGGCUGCAUAUGAAUGUAUUCCAAGUUGCUUGCAUUGAAGACAGAAUCCUUGAAUUCACUUCUACCUGUUGGGUGAUCUGAUGUUCUCGUAAUAAGGAAGUUAUUCAAGGUAAACUUGCUUCAUCUUACUCCCAAUGCAGUCAAUUGAAAGAUCUCUUGAUAGCAUGUAAACAGCCAUUUGGAGAUGAUAGCGCGGGAACUUAUUCUCAACAACAAGGAUGGAUCUCUUGGGCUAAACCUCCACGAGGUUUUAUUAAGGUGAGUGCCGAUGGAAGUUCUUUGGUUAAUCUGGGCAAAGCUGGCAUGGUGGACCAUGGCUGAUCUAAUCCGAGGUGAAGAAGGCAAUUGGAUCAUGGGUGAUUUUGCUAUCCUUCGUACCAAAAAAAACCCAAUUUCUUUCUCUUAUUUAUAUUCAAAUACGGUAAUUUGAAAAUAAAUGAUAUUUUAUGCUAUUAAUUGCACUUUGGAUGAAAAAUUAAAUGAUAUUGAAACUUUGAGACGGAAGGAGUAUAUGAAAUGCAAAACUAAAGAGAAGAAGAGACAUUCCAAAUGUUUGGAAUCAUUUUUAUGGUACAAAACAUGCUUCACUAUAGCAGAGAAAAAUUAAACAUCAGAUCACCUAGGUUUACGAUUAUUGAGUUUUUCUUAACCACUGGUUAUCGAUCAAAUAGGCCAUGAAGAUUUCAAAAGCUUUUCAUCUUUUGCAUCCGGAUUUUCUUCACAUUUGGGUUCUGUGUGUUUCUCUCAUGUUCAACGCGAUGCAAACUAUAUAGCAGAUGGUUUUGCAAAACAAGGUAUGACAACUAUAAGUUGUGAAUGUGUUGCAUUGCUUUGAUCUUCAUUUACUCCAUAAUCAAUUCCUCCCUUCUCAUCUUGAGUUAUGUCAUUGAUGCUGUUUAGGUUGUUGGCUUAUUUGAUAGUAACUGCUAGUACAGAAGAAUUUAUAGCAUGGACAUAAAACUGUAUCAUAUGUUUAUGUGGUGUUCUAGUUAUGCAUUUUCUCUUGGUUUAUAAUAACUGCUGACCCAUAAAUUUGCAGAUUUGCUAAUCUGUAUUAAUUCCACUGUCAAUAAUUUAGUUUCUAUAUAAUGAAACCAGUGGUGAAAUUUAUAUAUAUUGAUGAAGGUCUGGUGUGUGAGAACGGAUAGCUCGUUGUUUUGCACUCCCACUGACGGCUGGAGAAGAGAGAGGGACAUAAGCCAAGUUUGUAUUAUGUUAGACAUCAGCCCAAGUAAAAAUUAAUGCAGAAUCCGAAUAAAGCAAAUCUCUUCUUCAUUAUAUCAAAUAUUAUCUAGAAUCUUUGUUCUUAGUUUUACGAUUCUAGAUAAUAUUUGAUAAAGUUGAUGUCUCUUCAAAUAAUUUAGUGUCUCCUUUCGCUCUUUAAUCGCAAAUCCUUUGUUUAGAUGUAGACGACAUGGGCACAAUGGUGGAUUGGUUUAUUUAAAUUUCAGUUUUUGGUUUAUUAACCAAAUAAUUUAGUGUCUCCUUUCGCUCUCUUUUCAAUUUCUUUUUAUAUAUUAAUCCAAUCCAACUUUAUGCAGAACAAAACUGUUUAUUUUCAUGCUCUUCAACUUGAACAGCAAUAAGUAAUGCCUAUGCACACGGCUAAUACCUAUUUGUUUGUUAUAAAGUAAUUUUUUUUUGUUUUAAAGGGUUUUUUUUAUAUAUAAAAAAUAUAUUCUUGUAAAAUAUAUUAUUUUUUAAUAUUUAAUAAUAUCAUAAAAAUAAAAUAAAAAAUAUUUUUCAACGUUUCACUGUAUUAUGAAAAAUAAAUUGAAAAAUAAUAUUUUUAUAUUUUAAAAAACUAUUUAUCUAAUAUACAUAGAGCAUUACGUAAUCAUUUGACCACUUAUAAUAAAAAAAUAAAAAAGAGAUAUUAAAACUGUAAUGGUGGGGAAAAAUAAUUUAUUAUAUUAUAUAUAUAUAUAUAUAUAUAUAUAUUUAUAAUAGUUUAAAUACUACACACACACACGUGUGUGUAUUCAAUAUAAACAUUUUUUUUUUGAAAUAUUACAUUUUGAGUAGAGUUUUGACUAAUUAACUUUAUAAAAAUAGUGGAAUUUUUAUUUUUACUAAAUAUUUUUUUGGUGUUUAGAGAAUAUUGAAAAUAAGUUUUUUUUUCCAAUAAUAACCUAUUUUUACAGCAUAAUUUAAUGAUUCAAAAUGUAUAAUUAUUGUAUAAUAUAACGUGUUUUGUAUUAUAAUAUAUUUUCUAGCUAUAUUAUCUAAAUUAAAGUAUAAAAACACCAAAAUGUCAAAUUAAUAUAUUUUUAUAUUGUAUAUUAAUAUAUAAUAAUAUAUUAUUUCAUGUAUAAAUAUAUUAGUAAUUUAUUAUUUUCUAAAAAUAUUAUAUUUUAAAGUGUUUUAUUAAUGUCUUUACCACUUUAGUUCAGUUCUUAAGUACAUGUUUUCCACUUUCUAAUUAAAUUAUAAAACACUUUCUCGUUUUUCUGUGAUUAAAAAGUGAAUUUUAUUAACUUUUUUUUUUAAUGUUAAAAAACAUGAGGCAGUCAAGUCAAGAAAGUACUUUUCAAGACCAAAGAGAAUGCUUUCCAACAAGUAACAAGGCUUAGGUUGUGAAUGUGGAGGCAUCUCGAAUUUCUGCUUUGGGUUGCCACCUUUUUGAAGGUUAAGCUUGUUUUUCUUCUAGGCUUUUCGUAUGGGUAACUUACACUUACUAAGCUCGAUCUUUUGGCGUCACAUUAAUUUUUAUCUGGGCUGAGCAGUCUCUAAAUUUAGGACCUAUCGAGAAACAAAGAAAUAAACCACCGGAUAGGCCAGCGCUUCCAAGUUGGGAUUUUCUUAUUGUUUAAAUUUAAUCCGUGUUCUGAUUUUUGCUAAACUAUGUCCAAUACAAAAUUAUAACAACAAAAACCAUGGGAAUAUCACAGCAAUGGAUGCCUUCUAGAAGGCUAGGAAUAUUCCAACAAUGAUAUUUUCGAGGGACUGCUCAUGCUCAUCCCAUUUAUAAAAUGUAAUCAAAUUGAAACGAUAAAUACUCAGGCGCCGGCCCGUUGGGAAUUGGAAUAGACUAUAUAGCAAGCAAACUUUUGGCGAAUUGUCUGUCAUUCCAUGAUCAUUUAAUCAUGUACACCCACAGACAGAACUAUAUUGAUGUACAUGAUCAUUUAAUCAUCAACGUGAAAUAUGUUAUUCCAUGGUGAGAUCUUAUGCUAUGAUCUCCAGUCUCACAGCAGGUGAUUUAUAUAUAUAUAUAUAACAAAACCCUACUAAUGACCAUUACCACAAACAAUUUUUUUUUUUUUUUUUUGGUUUCUAAUUCCAUUCAGAAACAGAGCAAUGGGGUACUAUAUGGAUCCCCCACUGAUAUACUUACUCCUCAUGCCAUGAUAGCUGGUACAUGUCAGCUGCACAGUUUUACGUUUUCUUACUCCUUUUCUCUUCUUGCUCUAGCAGCUCCUCAAGCAACUUAUCAUCCAAGCAUUCGAACUCAAAAACUUCUUGUUGCGUUGAUGAUGAAGAGGAAGAAGAACCUGGAUAGCCUGAAGAGGAAAAGGGAGUAGAACUACUGGAACCAACGCUAGCAUUACCGGCCAUAUUUGGGUACUCGUUAGGAAAAUUGAGAACGGCCAAGUGCCCUCUCAUUGCAUAAGCUGCUCUGUCAUAGGCUCUUGCUGCCUCCUCCGCCGUGCUAAAAGUCCCCAGCCACACCCUCGCCCCUUGCCUGGCUGAAUCACGUAUCUCCGCAGCGAAUUUUCCCCAUGGCCUCUUCCUGACACCUCUGUACUUGACCUCUCCUCCUUCAUCCUUGCUCUUUGUUUUGUCCUCGUCCAUGAUCGAUGUUGGUUUUAUUUUUGUUUUGUUUUCGGUUUCCGUCUGUUUUUUGCAUGGCUAAUGUUUGCCUGGAAAUAGCUUUUAUAUGGGUGCCAAAAGCCAGGUUUGGCAGGGUUAGAAGGUCAACAACAUUUGUCCACGUGAAGAAAGUCUCAUGGUCAUACACUCAUACUUAUUCACACGUGUAAAUCAGAAAGAUCUACAUGGAGAGUUUUGGUCCAAUGUACCUAGAUGGUCAAGGUGAUGGCUUUGGAGCUUAGAACAACCUUUUCAGUGUUCUUUUAACUUUAUUAUGCUUGUUCGCGACUUGUUAAUUAUGAAAAAAUUAAAAUUAAAAAUUGGAAGGGGAUUCUGUUACGUUGAUCACAGGUUACAUAUGAACGAUGAGAUCAUUUGCAUCAUCGUUCUUCUCCUAUUUUAUUUAUCAUUAGUUAAUUUGAAUGCUUUUCUUUUUUUUUUCUUUUUUCUUUUUAGCUUUGAUUCCAUUGUUGAUUCUGACUAUAAAAUACAUGUUUCUGCAUUUCCAAGAUGAAUUCUUGUAUCUCUGUCAACAAAAAGAAUAAAAUAAUCCAUAUAUAUCAAAUCAAAUAUAAAUUUCUUACCAAUUUUAGGGUCUGUAUAGUUGUUGAUUUGAUUAAGAAGGUUAUUAAUGAGACAUAUGCGUGAUUUGCAAAGUAAAUAGCAAGGAACAGGACUUGGGUUUUAAUUUUGCAUUGUCUUAAGAAUCACAAGAAACCAAAUAAGAAGAAGAGAACGAUUGCAAUCAAGAACAAGAGACCUCAAAUAAAUAUGCGAUGUAAUAAUCAUUGUUAUAAAACUCUGCGUCAGCAAUUAUCUAAUUCAAGGCUCUAGUCAUGGUGGGAUGGGUCAUUCCAAAAUAAUAUUGUUAUAAUUUUUUUUAAAAAGUUAAAACAUCAUUUUGAAAAACAAUGGGUUUUGACCGAUUCCAGAGUUUACUUAGGCUCUAGUCAUGGUGGGAUGGGCUAACAUAAAAUCCGACCUGAAAUCUUUUAUCAAGUUCUAAAUUAACAAAUUGAUCUACCGGUACAUAUUAAAUUUAAUAACACGGCUAAUAAUGUCACUUUAUUGUUCUUGAUAUAUAACAAAACAACAUCAACUUUAUUUGCUUUUAAAUUGCAUGCUCUAAGUGUAAUGUCAUUGCAUUUUGGUGAGUUUCUUGCAUUUCUAUCUUCCAAUAGUGCUAGUUUGGUUUCAUGAGAAGAAGGGGGUGAUGCAAAUCAGGAAGAUGUCCCUUAAAACAUGGGGUCUACUGGUGGAUAAAGGACUUUUAUUAGAUAUAGAAUUUGUUUUGAAAGCACAUCUCAUUUAUGAUUAACUGUUUGUUAUUUCUUUCCUAGUUGGCUAUUUGUUUCCUUUGGCUGGACAGUUUAUUAGGGAUGAAAACAAAGAACAAAGUGUUUUUUUUUACAAGGAUAUUAGACUUGGAGUAAUUCCUAUUAUAAAGAGAUUUUGUGUUCUUUGUUUAUUCUUUUUGGAUCUAAAAGUGAGGUUGAACCAAGAGGUUUUGCAUCAUUUAGGUAUCAAAUCAUUCCAUGCCUGUAAUCUGUAGUGGUAACUUGUAUAAUAUGUCGAACAUUCACAUUCCUAACAACCCAAAUCAUGAGCGGGCCAAUCUACAACAACAAAUCACCCACAUCACUACUAUAUUGGAACAACUUUUUCACCAACUAGAUGUUAUGGAUAAGUGUUGGGCUUGAGAGGGACUUAGAUCUUCUAAUAGGAAGUGGCAUGGUCAAUUUCAUAAGGAUUCCCUUGAUGAAAAUAACAUGGAUGAUAAGGAGAAUUUAGAAGAUGAAGACAUCAGAGAGUUUGUGAAUUAUUAACCUCGAUUUCAAUAUAACAAAGAAAAGUUUCACUAAAACCAUGAUAGGCGUGGUUUGGAUUAUCAACUUUUUGAUGAACUCACUAAAAGGAUGAAGGUGGAUGUGCCUGACUUUGAUGGAAAAUUAGAGCCUAAUGCUUUUGAGGAUUGGUUAAUAGUCGUUGAAGAUUAUUUUGACUGGUUUGUUGUAUUGAAAGACUGUAAGGUUUGUUAUGCCAGAAUAAACUUGAAGGAGCAUGCACGAGCUUGGUGGGGAAGUAUGGAAGAACUAUUAUGCUUUACUCAGCAUCUACAAUUUCUAACUUGGAAGAGAUGAAGGAACAAAUGAAAGAAAAAUAUCUACCCAUGAUUAUGAGCAAAUGAUGUUUAAAAAAAUGUUACAACUGAGGCAAGCAUCUUUAAAUAUGGAUCAAUACACAGAUCGUUCCCAUUAGUUGACUAUUUAUAGCAGGAUUAUGAAAACUAAAUAGCAAAUAUUGGCUCAAUACCAUAAUGGAUUGUGUGUGAUCUACACAAGGAAAUGUUGAUUACAUGAUUAAUUAAUAUGGAAGAAGCAUAUCAACUAACAUUGUUUAUUAAGAAAUAAUUUGGGGUUUUGAGUGGAAAGAAAACAAUGUCAAUGGAUCUAAGACCGAGGUAUAUGGAAAACUUUUCAAUCCCGAAGCCAUCAUUACUGCAUAACAAACCAGGAAGUACAAUGAUGGGUGAUCAGAAGGGAAAAUUGAAAGUUAUAAGUGAAGGUCCACGGUGUUACAAAUGCAAGGGGUUCAAACACUAUGUUAUUGUUAGUUUUACUAUACAUAAGAAACUAACCUUUAUUUAUGAGAAAGAAUUGAUAAAAAUAAAAGAAGUAGAGGAAGAAGAAAAUGAAGGGUGUAUUGAUUAUGAUGAUGAGCAUUUAAGUGCAUCGAAACUACCUAGCUUUGUGAUCCAUGUAGUAUUGACUAGGACUAGAAAGGAAUUCAAAGCUAAUCCUGAGUGGCUAUGCACCAAUAUCUUUCAUACGUGUAUAGAACCUGGUGGUUGAGCAUUAAACAUCAUCAUUGAUAAUGGCAGUGACAUGAGUGUGAUCUUUGAAGCAACAAUGAAAUGUUUGGGCCUGCAAAGUAACAAGCACCCUACUUCUUAUCGAAUUAUUUGGAUCAAUGAGAAUAAUUUGAUCUUGGUGAAGCAUCGAUGUUUAGUGAAGUUUUCAUUGGGAGAGAAAUAUGUGGACGAGGCAUUGUGCAAUGUCAUUCCUAUUACUGUUUGCCACAUGUUAUUGGAAUGACUUUGACUUUAUAAUCAGAGGGUCUCUUAUGACAGGUAUACCACUAUUUACUUUUUUAAUUUUAAGGGUAAGGAGUUUGUUUUGGUUCCAUUGUAGAUUUCAAAAUUUGAGACAAUAAGAGACAUUGUUCUGGUAUUGAUCAUGCAUUGGUUUUCUUGAGCUCCAACUGAAGAGAAAAUUGUGAAGUUAAGCAAGAUGAUGGUUUAAUUUUCAUUGAGCUUGCAACAAUACUAAGGAAAUUCAAAGAUAUUAUGGCCGAUGAAAUACCACACUAACUUUCACCAAUGCGAGAUGUACAACAUGCUAUUGAUCUUAUUUUCGGGUCAUUCUUACCCAACCUACCACAUUACCGAAUAAGCUCAACAGAGAAUGAGAAACUUAACCGGUAAAUCCAAUAACUAUUGGAUAAGGUUUUCACUCGAGAAAGUUAUAGCCCCUGUAUUGUUCCAGUAUUGCUUACACUAAAAAAUGAUGGUAGCUGGAGGAGGUGUGUGGAUAAUCUAGCAAUUAAUAAGAUAACGAUGAAAUACCAAUUCCUCAUUUCUCAACUUGAUGACAUGUUGGACUUGUUAACAAUGAAAUACAUCUAUUUUUAUAAAGAUUGAUCUUCGCAGUGGAUAUCACCAAUUCAUAUAUGUCUUAGUGAUGAAUAAAAGACAGCCAUCAAAAUGAAUAAGGGAUUAUUCAAAUGGUUAGCCAUGCCCUUCAAAUUAACCGAUGCACUAGACACUUUCAUGUAUGAUAUAACACAAGUUCCCAAGCAUUUCCUGGAUAAAUAUGUCGUUGUGUAUUUCAAUGACAUUUUAAUUUUCAGCAACUAUCUGCAUGACCAUCUAGCCUAUAUUAAAUAGGUAUUGAAUAUUUUGAAAGCUGAACAACUUUACAUUAAUUACACCAAGUGCUCAUUCAUAAAAAAAAAAUAGUCUAUUUUUUUGCUUUAUCAUCUCUGAUUAGGGUGUUGAAGUUGAUCCCAUCAAAGUACAAGCUAUUCAAAAUUGGCCUACACCUCAAGAUUUCUCUUAGGUCGAAGCUUCCAUGGUUUAGCUACAUUUUAUUGACAGAUUAUUCAGGGUUUCAGCACUAUAAAGGCCUCAAUUACUGAGUGUUUGAAGGUCAAGAACUUCUCUUAGAGUACAACAGCCACCAAGGCUUUUAUUGAAAUUAAGAAGAAGAUAUGAGUGCAGCAGCCACCGAGUCUUUUAUUGAAAUUAAGAAGAAGAUAAGGCAAGCACCAAUUCUAAAAUUGUCGUGUUUUUUUAAGGUUUUUUAAGUGCCUUGUGAUACUUUACAUGUAGGAAUUGAGGGUGUUUUAAACCAAGAAGGUCAUCAUAUUGCUUUUUAUAGUGAAAAACUUAAUAACACUCAUCGGAAGUAUUCUACACAUGACAUGGAAUCUUAUGCUUUAAUUAAAACUAUUAAGCAUUAACGUCCCUACUUAAUCCAUAAAGAGUUUAUUCUUUCUAAAUUAGUAAUUAAAGGGAAAGAAUCAAAGUUGUCAACUUGAACUGCAAUUAAUGGUUAAAGGGAUUGAGUUUUUUAGCAAGGUAAAUGCCAGAAUUGCUCUCUUUUUACCCUCCUCUGAACAACCCCUGCCCUCUCUCUAAUAUAUAUUUGAGCGGUGAAAAGCACAACGCAAAGACCCUUCUUUCUCCUCUCUUGUUUUUUCUUUUUCAAUAAUCCUAUAUUUGGUUAUAAAUAUAAUAUCUUUGAGAGUCCAAAUAGUUAUGAAUUUAGAUUCAUAUAAUUUAAAAGUCAUCGUUAAUUAAUUUGUUUGAUUUUUUGCCCUCAUCAUUGAGGUUUUUUGUUUUUUUAUUUAUGUCUACAAUGUUGUUCAAGAAUCCAUGAUGAGUCACGUAACAAAUUUAUAAUUAUCUCUUUAGAGUUAUAAUUAUCUCUUUAGAGGGAGACAUUGGUAUAUGAUAGUAAUCCUAACUUUUUGAAUUAUUAUUACUGAGACCUGGCGGUUAUUAAAAUUACAUUUUCUUAUUAAAAAAAGCUUGAAAUUUUAUUUUAUUUGCCAUAAAAAAAUAAGUAGCAUGAUGAUUGAUGGUGGCAUACGAUGAAAUGCAAGACCAAAACAUCCAAGACUUUAACUGGGUGGUUUAGUUAGGCGAUGUGUUAACCUAUGAAUAAUAAAACGUAGGUGUCAUGAAUUUAAAUUCUUAACCUUUCAUGAAAGAAUAAUUAUCUGAGAAUUUUGUUUAUAUUACAUUAGUGUAGGUAAUUAUCAUGAUGUUAUUCUUUCUUUUAUAUGCUGGUCUUGUGGGUCCACACCACUCCAUUUUUUUCUAGAGAUAAAUAAUUAAAUCCACACUAUGUGCGUUCGGAAGGGGAAAGAAAAAAAAGAGAAGAAAAAAGGGGAAAGAAUUGGAAUUUUGCUUGCUGAUGCCAAAAAGUUGUCGCCUAGCAAGCUAGGGCACUUGUUAAACCUCUAGAGUCUAGGGUGGUAUUAACAAGAAAGCAUCUUGCUAUAUUUGAAAAAGAUCAUUCGUGCAUGUAUCAUGGCUCUGCAGCUGGGUUCAUCAUCUUUGCCCAUCUAACAACAAUUUUGAUGAUUUUGUGAUCCAUUGCAUGGAACCGAAUCAAUAAAUAAAUCAAAACGAUCGAUUCUGUGCAGAAGGAAUUCGCAGAUCUUCCUUUUGCUUUCAUGUUAUGAUUAUUGUUAUAUAAUAUGUAGAGGAACUUCAACCGGGGCUGCACCUCGGCAAGACUUCGUGUUCCCUUUAACAAGUGCUUCUGAAUUUGUAUGAUUCUCUGGCAACAUAAUAAUCUUGACUUUCCAAGCUACCACUAAUUUAUGGCUUUAAAUAGAGACACAGUCAGUCCUAUCAAGGAACUCCAACAUAUUAGUGAUUGUAAGAACCAAAUUUAACAGGUUCAAUGGAUGCAGAUAUCACUGUCAUUUUGUGAAAAUGAGUUCAAUGGAUGUAGAAAUUACUUGCAAAAUGUACGAUUUUCAGAAAGCAACGGUUUGGGCCGGAAGAUAUUUUGAUGAAAUCGAUCAAAAGUAGGUGAUCGAAGAAUCCGUGAUCGUAGGAAAAAAAAAAAAAAAAGUGUGAUUAAAAAAAAAGUGUGAUUAAAGAAUUCGAGUGUUUAUAUUUAUACUGGUUAUAGUUACGUUACACUUUCUUUGUUGCGGGAUGGAUAAAAAAUAAAAAAUAAAUAUACAAGCUUUUUAAUUUUUUUAAUUUUAAUUAUAGAUUAUAAAAUCUAUGAGAAUUAUUUGUAUUAAUAAAUAUAAAAAAUAAAGUGUUAACAUGUUUAUUUAAUUCAUUUAAUUGCAGGUCGAAUAUUUUUUUUAAAGCAAAAUAAUUAAUAUAUAAGUGCUAUUAAUGUUUUUUUUUUAUAUUAAAAACAAAUAUAACUGCAAAUCAUAAAGUUCACACUUACAUAUAAUAAAGAUCAUAUAUAUUAAUAAAAAUAUAUAAGAUCUCAAGUUAAUUUUUAACAUAGCUAAAAAAUAAAAUAAUGUUGCAAUUGCUAUAAUGAAACACAAUUUUCUUAAUCCAUGUGGACUAAAUUUUCAAAAACAAAACGUGUAAAGAAAAAAACAUUAAAAAACAAAUUACAAAAGAAUAAAAAAAAUGAACAAAAAUACAAUAUUUUUUCCAAAAGAAAUGAAAAACUAAAAAAAAACAUUAAAAUCAUGAACACAAUUUUCUUAGUCCAUGUAGACUAAAUUUCCAAAAAUAAAGCGUGUAAAGAAAAAAAUAUUAAAAAACAAAUUAUGAAAGAAUAAAAAUAAUAAAUAAAAAAACAAUAUUUUUUCCAAAAAAAUAAAAAACUAAAAAAACAUUAAAAUCAUGAAUUUGACAUCCAGGUCAUAAUUUGUUUUUUUUUAAUUAUAAAGUAUGGAGGUUGCUCCGAUAUUGUUUUUACAUAAAAAAUUAAAAGUGUUAUUUGAAAAGUCUAUGUAAUCAUUUAACUAAAUAAAUCAAUAAUCAUUUAUAUAAAUAAAAAAAUUAUUAGCAAUAACCAAGAAAGAAUUUCAACCAAUGUCCUCAACCUUUGGUUCAAAGGUCGUAUGGUAAUUUUAAUUUUAUCAUGAACAAUUGAAUUACACAGAUAUCUUUACUAUACAAAUUUGUUAGCAUUGGUUUCAAGAGCUUGAUUAUCAUUUCCUAAUAAUUUUUUUGUUAUUGUUAUUUAGUUCUAAAGACAUUAUAUAUAUAUAUAUAUAUAACAAUUGAAUUACUCCAUUAAAAAGCUUGAUUUCUUAAUGGUCUUGGUUGUUUUUUUUCUUCUUAAAGUCAAUAUAGUAAUUACAUUGUUAUUAAAAAAAAUAAAAAAAUAGUGCUACCCCAAAUAUAGUAAUUACAUUGUUAUUAAAAAAAAUAAAAAAAUAGUGCUACCCUAAAUAAAUCAAAAAUGACAAAUUAAUAACGUGUAAAGAUCAUUUUACCUCUCAAUUAAAGCUUUAAUUUAAAUUAAAGGAUGGAAGGUAAAAAUAUAAUUUAACUAUAACUCAAUACACAUUUCACCAUAGACAAAAUCUAAUAAAGAAAUAAAAAACCAUGCGGCUUAUUAUUUUACAUAAUGUUAAUGUUAAUAAUUAAUGUUAAUAGGUGGUCUUGAAAACACGUGAAAAUCCAGCAAGUCUACAAUUCAUUGUCUCUUUCCGAGAAUCUGUUAAUAAUAUAUAAUUUUAGAGUAACAGGAAUUCAAGUGUUCAGAUUCCGGGCCAUAUGUGAAACAGAACAAACAUCGAGCCCAUUAACAGUUCUUCACUUAAAAGAGCAUGGGCUGAUGGACAGCACCUAUUUGGGUUUUAAACAUCUCGAUCUGCUUUUCUGAGUCUCUCGGAGUCUACGCGACUCUGGCUCUGGUGUCCGAAAACUUUCCUUGACCACGUACUGGCAAUAAUCUUGAUUUUGGGUUAUGCUUUCGAUUGCUCUCUACCGGUAAAGAAAAUACGAUACCUCACCUCAGUACCAUAGAACAGGGGAACAUCGGCAUUAAUUCAAUAAAGAACUAAUUGAUCUAGAAAAUGUUGCUAGUUAUAGGCUAAGAUUGGGAUCAUUGUUAAAAGUGAUAAAAGAAAUUGAUGGAUUUUCCUUAAUAGGUUUAAAAACUGAUACAAUCGGGUUAAAUAAUCAUCACUGGUAAGUUUUUAUGAACUCAAUAAUAAUAAAAAAUGAACGGCGUGUGAAUUUCAAGCAAAGAGUUUGGAAGAUUAAAUAUAGAAACAGUAGAAGCCAUUGUACAAUUUUAAAGAAACUAAAGGAUGCUCGAAAAAUGUCACACCGCCUACUUAUUCCCUCCAAAAAUAAAUACACUGACUUGUUAUCAUUGUUAUUGUUUUGAGCUGGAGCUAGUCUCAGACUGCUACUUUGUUCUGCGUCAAAGAUUAACGGGACCAAAGGUUUCGAGCGAGGUAAUUAAACAGUGUACAAAUCUGCAGCAACCAAACUCCAAGCAGUUCUUCAGUGAAGCAAAAUUCCAAAACUCCAGCCACUAUAAAGCAUAUUCAGAUGAAUCACCAGCAGCUUCAAUAAAUACUAUAUCCACAAAGACAACUCGGUAUCAAAACCACAAUUCCUAGAUACAUCUUGUUUAGUAAGACCAGCAGCCACAUGAUUCACUUCGUGCAAGGUAAGUGAAAAGGUCACAGGGCUCAUGCGAGAAGAGAAACGAGCAGCAAGGAUGAAGAUUUUAUGAUAAUACCAUGACCUAAUUAUAGAUACAACUAACAGUUAUGCUUCAUUGAAGUCUUUGAUCCCUACAAGGAGGGAAAAAAGACCCAAAGCCAUUCAUUUAUGAUCAUGUACGUAGAACCAGCAGGACCAAGCUCAUAAAAAAAAUCCUUCCACAUUCCAAUUAAUUAUAUGCAUGCUUAUUUAUAAUGUUUUUUACAAAACAUGUUUAUAUCAAAAUUAUUAUUUUUUUUAUUUUCAUAUUGUUUUGAUGUGCUGAUCUCGAAAAUAAUUUUUUAAAAAAAUAAAAAAAUAUUAUUUUUAUAUAUUUUAAAAUAAAAAAUAUUUUGAAUCACAAUCAGACCACAAUCCCAAAGAUAACCUCAUACCUAUCAGUAAACUUCUCUAACAAGGUCAAAGAAAGAAAUUAAAUACAGUAGACUUCAAAUAAAAGAAUCAAAUUCAAAUCUCCUCAAUUUGUCAACUUUUGAAUUUUGACCGAGCAGUUGACUGAUCUGUGAUAUAUUAUACUCAUGCAAAAUGCAAGCAUUGCGUGGACGGCUUCUAUGUCUGCACGUGUAAUCACAUGCACUCCCAUCCUUCUGUGGUGAAAUUGGUAAACAGCAGAGAAAUUGCAGAACCGAAAGAAGGAGAAAUACUGGCACUGGCUGUGCUAUCAUUAACUUGUAAAAAAAUAUUCGGCUGCAGUCACGUGAUACAAACCCUGCAACGUAAGCUCCCACGUGAUAUGAUCCCCAGUUUUUGUCCAUGUUGGUAAACAAAUGGCAUUGUGUCUUUGGGCCACAUAAUUAGGAACACCAUUUUCAAGUCACAAGUGAAUGAGUGCAGUGUUGGUCAAUUUUAGAAGAAGAACAGAGCACAUGAAAAGUCCACUGACACAUGUAACUCCGUAUCUCUAUUCAGGAGAAAAGAAAAAGAAAAAAAAAACCUGACAAAUUGGUCGAACCUCACGUUGGAAAAACCAGGAUUUUUUUUUAAAAUGGUUAUUUCUCGUUUUGUUUCUUCAAUCUAAAACAGCUCCUCCAAGGGAAGUAAAUUUGCCAGUUGCUGCCUACUGUCAUGUGCCAUACGUUUUCUUUCUUAGUAUUGAUUCGUUUCUUUAUAUUUUUAAUAUAUUACAAUAGCCGGGCCUAUUUUAACUUAUUUUUUCUUUUUCUAUCCUAGAUAAUAUUCGAGAUUAUGGUAAUGGUUAUUUUUUAAAAAUAUUUUUUAUUUAUAAAUACAUUAAAAAAAAAUUAAAAAAAUUAUUUUUGACAUUAAUAUAACAAAAAAUUUAAAAUUAUAAAAAAAUUAAUUUAAAACAAAAAUAUUAAAAUAUUUUCAGAAACACGCCAAAACACGCCCUCUUGUUGUGAAUUGCAAGCAACAGACUUGUAGACCAAGGUUUUUCGGCUUCUAGACUUUGGACAUGGUGGAUGGAAUUAAUUAGUUUAGAAAUUACGGGAAAGAGCUCUCAGACAUGCUGAUAUAGUUACCCCAUCAUAGCAAGUAUGAAAAAAGAAUAUUAUGGUUGCAAAAUCUACUUAUAAUGCUUAAUGAGUAUCAAUUUUUAACAAAUUCUAAAAUAUAGUCUCAAUCUCAACCAAAAAACAAAUUACGCAGUGCUGAAUGCGCUUCUACUGUCACAACAAAGAGAGAAAUCCAUCAAUUCAUAUAAUAAAUUAAGAAAGCUAUAUAAGCUGCAUGAACCAAAAGAUUUGGCUCGAUCGGUUUUAAGUUAAUCUUAACUUUCUUAAUGGGAAGCUAACCAGUACUUUAGACACGAAUUUAAACUUUUGUUAUAAAAGCAGCUCCAUGAAGAUCGAUGCCUGUAAGUGAACAAGAAAGAAACACGAGAAGACUCAUAUUUGCGCAAGGUCUUAUCCACCCCCACCCACCGUCUAGUGUAAUCAUACCUGCCUGGCUACCAAGGGAAACAUUCUUCUCUUAAACAAACAUGAGACUUUCAUCGUUUGGUUGUCUAUAGAAACGUUCGGAGUGACAGCGAUGUGAAUGCAAGGUAGUCGAGAUUUCUUCGGCAGGGACUACAAACUUUGACUAUAGAAUUCACACUUUUUGAAAAUGGAGACUGGUUUUUUUCACACGCAAGCAUUGAAGUGUCGGUCCUGCUUUUAUUGGCGUUUGAUUUCUUGCACACAACGAUUUGACUUCUCUAGUUGCUAGUGAUAUCGGCCCUCUCAAACAAUUUAAUUGUUGACAAAAAGGCUUUUCCUUGGGACCCAUUUGAAAAUUAUAUGAUCCCCUCGGAUUCGAAUUAGAGCGGAGGGAAGAAUCUAAAAGGUAAUAUUUGGGACCCAAUGGAGUAAAUGCAAUAUAAGAUAUACGUGUAAUCCGUGUCUGUGUCUUGCAGUAGUCAAUGGAAGGUAAACAAUAGUGUUCAUGGUGGUGGCUUGCAUGUGGGCUUUUGGGACCUUUUGCUUUAAGAUGAUUGAUGAUGAUCGAGAAGGGAUGAAAAGUCAAAUCUCUUUGAAUAAUUACCAUCCAAAAAAGAAAGAAAAAAUAAUCAAAAGGAACGGGAGAAAGCUCAUGAACUGAGUUACUCGUUUAUUGGCUCAUUCAUUUAAAUAGAGUUGGUGUGAUUAGAUUUUGAGUUGAUAUAAUUAACCAAGUUCACUUGUUAGCUCAUCAAGAUAGGCAUGAUGAGAAUUCUAGCAAAAGAAAAACUGAAACAAAUGAUCUUGUUCCUAGCGGACAAUACAGUGAAGAGUAAUUAAUUAGUAUAGGAAUUAAUCAAUUGCAUAACUGACAAUAAAUAAUUAAUCUACAGUGAAUCAACGACUCGUCAACAGUAUUAAUCACUCGUAACAGCUCCCUAAAACGAUGUCAUCGUGCCAUUUUAUGAUACGUGUUAAACUGUCUCCUAAAUCUUGAAAGGAUUAACUUUCACUCGGUUGACGACAAGAAUAAAUAAAUAAAUAAAAUGAAAUCAGUUGAUAAAAAGAAAUGAAAACAAGGAUAGUUUCUUUCUUCUUCUUUUUCAGCUGUCUUCGAGGCCCUUCGGGGCAGUGGUGUAACCCAACUUUUAUGAAAUUUUAUAUUUUAUUUUAAAUUAAUUUUUUAAUAUUUUUAAAUCCGUUUUAAUAUUAAUAUGUUAAUGUCAAAAACAUUUUUUUUAAAAAAAUAUAUUAUUUUAAAAAAAUUAUAGUAAACACCCCAUUAUUACAGUAGAGUUUGAGCUGCAAGAUAACAAGACACCUGUGAAAGAAAUUAAUAGUAACAUUCGACAAGUGAAAACAGGGUUUUAGUCGCUUGACGAUCUUGAACAGAUUCAGAUGUGGCCGAAUGGUGCGGUGUAUAUUCAAUUUCAGCUGCAAGUUGAGACUUCAAAUCAGCUAUGGGCAUGAGUCUCAUCCCAAGAAAACAAUGUGCCAAUGGUGUUAUCAGGAGGGGGUCCCUUGCCAGUUUUACUUGGACGAACAUGUAGAGUCUAUCUUUAUAUGGUGGGCAGCCGCCCAGCCUAUGAAAUCUCCACUAUCAUCUUAUAUUAUAGUAUUAGAUAUAUUAAUUAGCCCUCCAUGGUCCAUACAUUGUGGUUACUAAAAACCAAUAGUGCAAUAAUCGAGACUCUCCCCAAUGGGAACCAGAGAGAAAUCCACCUACUACGUAUGCUUAGCUCAGACCUUCUGUCUUAAAAUAAAAUUUUAGUUUAGUAAUUUCAGGCAAAAUUUCAUUGAUUUUCAAGGCUUUCAUGUCCGCAUAUAGCACCUCCCCUCAUUUAUACCAUCUUGAUUUUCUCUCUCUUGUCUCUCUUCUCCACGUACUUGCAUCUCUCCUGAGACCCGCACAUAUUAAUGUCCCUUUUCAGAUCUUUCUUUCUCAAUAGUAACAAGCUGGCUUUCUCUCUUCCUUGGCUUUCCUUGGUUUGAAUUUUCGUCGGGUUUCGAGUUCAUAAAUUAAGGUCGGUUCAUUCUUGUUCUUAUACGAUAACUAAUUUGCAUGUUUCUGUGCAUUAUAUUCAAGAUCUAAACGAGCCAGUUGGUUUGCCAUUUCUGCUUAGCAAAUCCAUUUCAUGGAUCUUGUAAGAAAAAGCUAUGGUUCUCAGUCUCUUCCACCAAUGACAAGUCCAGUUGGUGGCUCAUCAAUAUUUGGACCUCGUACUCAGUCUUCAGAUACAAGUUUCCCAAUUAUUGCCAUUGCCAUAAUAGGAAUUUUGGCAACAGCUUUAUUGCUAGUUAGCUACUACAUCUUUGUCAUUAAAUGCUGUCUGAAUUGGCACCGCAUCGAUCUUCUAAGGCGAUUCUCCCUAUCAAGAAAUAGAAAUCACGAAGACCCUUUGAUGGCUUACUCUCCUUCUGCUAUAGAGUCUCGUGGACUUGACGAGUCAGUGAUAAGGUCAAUCCCAGUUUUCAAGUUCAAGAAAGAAGGCAACAACGUUAGAAACGUUGGAGAAAGAAGCUUCUGUGAAUGUGCAGUUUGCUUGAACGAGUUUCAAGAAGCUGAGAAACUAAGAAGGAUACCAAAUUGUAGCCAUGUUUUUCAUAUUGACUGCAUUGAUGUUUGGCUUCAAAGCAAUGCUAAUUGCCCACUUUGUAGAACAAGCAUUUCGAGCACCACAAGAUUCCCAAUUGAUCAUAUUAUUGCUCCAAGCUCUACACCCCAUGAUGCAAAUCCUUACAGUGAAAGUGUCAUGGGUGGAGAUGAAGAUUAUGUUGUCAUUGAGUUGAGUAAUCACAACUCUACAGAUCAAACAUUGCUUGCAGCACAGGAAAGAUUGAAUUCAGGAGAGUUAUCAGCGCGCUCAAUUAGUCCUUCGCCAAGGAAGAUAGAGCAGGGAGUUGGCCACAAGAAAGCAAGGAAUCUUAACAAGGUUACCAGCAUGGGAGAUGAAUGUAUUGAUACAAGAGGCAAAGAUGAUCAAUUCGGAUUGAUUCAACCCAUCAGGAGGUCCUUUUCAAUGGACUCGUCCGCAGAUCGGCAGCUCUAUUUAUCAAUUCAAGAGAUAGUGCAGCAGAGCAGGCAAGUUACUGAGGUCAGCUCUGUUGAAGGUUGUAGUGGUAGAGCCAGAAGAGCUUUCUUUUCUUUUGGUCAUGGUAGAGGAUCCAGAAGCUCAGUCUUACCUGUUUAUUUGGAGCAGUAAAGCCAAAAUAUUUUCCAUUGAUUAUUUUUCCUUGUAUUUUGUUUUUCAUUAUAAGGGUAUAGGGAUUUUAAUUAGAUUUAGACAUGUUAAAGGGCAUAGGAUUUGUGACAUAAAAGCAUUUAAUUGAAAUAUCGAUUUUUCAUUUUAUUCGACUCUUGGGUUAGUGCAAUUGCCUUCGGCCAGUUUUAGUUAAAGGGCUUAACAGCCAUGAUAAAUAUAUAAGUAUACUUGAUAAACAUAGAAUUUUUUUUUUUUUUGGUUGCUUUUCAUGCUUGAAUAUGAGCUACUGGUCUUGGCUUUAAGCAUUGGAACGGGAUUCACAUUACAGUAUCUGAGCUGAGAAUAGUAGCAAUAUGGAUUGUCUGAAGUCGAGGGAGAGCUCACACGAUAAUUUUAAAGGAAAAGGAACCUACAAAAGCAAGGGAGAGGUGGGAGGUCCCUUGCAUUGAUUUAGGAGUUAGCUGGAGAGGGUUUUCUUCAAUUGAGAUAAUCAUAGAGGGGUCAGACUCUUGGUGCUGGUGGAGGGAAAAAAUCACAAAAGAACAAGUAAAGAGGGAUUAUAGAAUUGCAAAAUUAAGGUCCCCUUCCACUGAUUUAGGAGGAAGAGAAGAGUCCUUUUCAAUUGAGAUAAUUAUGUCAAUAGUCGCCUACUUCUUGAGUCAUUUAUUAUAAUUCUAAUGUUGGUGGAGGAGGGAGGUACAGUGUUUGGUCAUUGUUCUUGCUGUUCCUCAACAGCACCUACUUCCAACCUGUAGGAAUCAUCCAUUAACGUUUAUGUUUCCAAUAACGUUAAACAAGUAUAGAGGUGAAUUGAUUUUUUUUUUAAAUGUUGAGAGGUUAGUUGAACAUUUGAAUGCAUAAGUGUACGGACCCUAGUCUUUGUUCAGCGUAUUUCUAGAUGUUUUCUGGAAGAGCAGCUCAUGCAUUCAUAUAUUCUGAAUAAUCAAGAUGAAUUUAAUACUCUUACAAAUCAUACUAGACUUAUAGACUUGUUCCUCCCUUUUAACAUCAUCUAACUGCAAGAUCUAAUCAAAUAACUAUCUCCUAAUAAGAAUAAAACUUCCAAGUAUAAAUUCGAAAAUGCAUGUACUAGUUUUAUCAUGUUCUUCACCAAAAUCCCGGUGUGGAAUAUCUUACUAAUAUAUUCAUGAAGUUAGUGGUUGAGGAUUUUUGGAAAGUAGCGGAGAAUCUUUCUGCACGAUUAGCAGUACUCUUCUUAAAUCAAAACGAUAAGAACAGCUGGAUUUUGAAGCUGUGCAUCAAAACUAAAGAUACAUAACAUUUGUACUCUUGAUUCGAAAUAUGAGACAGCAAUUUAAUACUUUGUUUGAACAAGCAAUUUAAUGUUGGGUUUUUUUCAGCCUUGGUAUUCAUAAGACAUAAGGAAGGCAAGAUCUUGGAGCAUAGAGAUAUGCAUAUGGAUUAUGAGUUGGAAAAUCAGAGCUUCCACGAGUCCAACCCAAAGGGACAAUGAAGAUGCAGAAAAUUCAAGGUAUACAUCAAAAACAUCAUCCAUGUCUCGAUAGUUGCAGAAAUGUGCGUAAUAUUCUAUAACCAGGGCCAUAUAUUGGUCCCCGAUCCCUCUGACAGUCUAACUACAAAACCCAUAACUUCAGUUCUUCUUUUGCUCUGGUUAUAUUAUCACCAGACACAACCACUGACCUGAUAGAUAUUACAACAACUGCGGCUCUUCUAUCUGAUGAUUCUGUGGCCUUCAAUUUUCCUAAGCCAUGUGCUUGCAUGUAUGGGCAGAGAUAGCAUAUCUGUGACACGCUUGAGGAACCCGUGGGAUGUUGGGAAAUCUAAUGAAAAUGAAAUUGCCAUUGCUUACAUCUAUCACCAUAAAACAAAAAAGAGUCAACCAAAGUAUCAAAACACAGAAUGAAAUUGCUUAGACCGAAAUUUAAUUAAUGGGCUUUUCUGAACGUUUGAACCGAGUCCGAUUUUUCUUUUUUUCCGUUGCAGACUGGUUUGGAAGAAGAGAAAAGUCCAUGAGAACAGAAUCAAAUCCACCUGGAUAGGAGGAGGCCCAGAAAUCUGGCUCAAUUCAACAACUAAAAUUUACAAGGACCAUUUUCAAUACAGGGAUUGACAUCCAAGAAUGACUUAGAGCCCAAAUCAUACAUAAAGAAGGGCCUAGCUUCAACAUUAGCUUCAGAUAUUAGAACGCAAAUCCAAAGAAAAAGUACUAAAUUAAAUUUAAAAAUAGAGUAAUAGUUGUUUUUUAAAGUAUUUUAUAUUUAAAAAUAUAUUAAAAUAAUAUAUUUUUUUAUGUUAAACAAACUCCUCCUAAUUCCUCAAAAUGUAGGACUGAAUAUAUAUUUUCAGAAAGAAUAAGGAUUAAUUAAUCAGAUUUAUUAAAUUAAUAGGACUAAUUUAUAACUCAAGAGAAAUUUUUUAGAACGCCAAUUAUUACCCUCCUUUUCCAUUUCCACUUUUGACAUUACAAGCGUCAUCUUAGAUCUGAUACAAAACCACUAACUUGCAAUAUGAGAAGUUCGCGAUCAGUUAGUUAGUAAAUUAUGUUGAUCAUUGUGCUCCUAGAUUCUAAGAAAUUAAGGAUUCUAAUUAAGCUUUCUGCAAGCUAUUGGCAAGGUAGUUUGCUUGCUUGAAAUAGUGCCUUAAGCUAGGUUAUUGAAGCAUUAAUUGUCCUAAUCUAAAAUUAAUUAAUUUGUCCAAAAUCUAAAUUAUAUCUUGCUAAAUCAUUGUAUUAUGACUUCAACCUUUUGACCACUAUCUUUGCUUCAUUUUGCUGUUAAAUGUGUUUCCUGUAAAUUAAGAUCACAGGUAAGGAUCAUUGACAUUUAAUGUAUACAGAUGGCAUUAGUGAGUGAUGAAAUCCGAUUCUAUUUUAUGAGCUUGAAGACUAAGUCGAGGUUGAGAUAAGAUUGUUAAUUGUUAAUUGAUAAUUUGAUCUAUUUUUUCUUGGUUAAAUGAUUGAUGAAUUAUGUUUAAUACAUGUACAAGGUCCUCUUAUUUGAAUUUAAAAACUUUUCAAUGAUUAAGUCAAUAUAAUAUUUGAGAAAUAUUUGAGAGAAAACAGUUCUUUUUUUAAAAAAAAAACCCUAAAAAUAUAACUUUGUCGUUCGUAUUAAAAAAAAAUCAAACUUGACCCACAAAGGUUACAUUAGUUUUUUUAUAUAGCUUCUAAGGUCUCCUUCUUCAUGAAAGGAGAAAAGGUACAUAUAUCAGCCAAAUAUAGGUCUUCUCACGAAAAAAUAUUUCUGAUUUCUUAGGAUAAAACAUCUCUAAUUGUAGGUCUGACGGUUUGCCAGACCCACAUAAGCCUAAGCUCAGCGCUUGGCAAAGCUCGAAGAUGGUGGAUCUAACGGUUCGUCAGACCCAUAUAAACUUGAGCUUAACACCUAGCUGAGCCCAGAGAUAAUGGGUCUGACGAUUUGUCAGGCUCAUAUGUCUAAACUCAACGCUUAGCUGAACCCGGAGAUAAUGAGUCUAGCAGUUUGACAGACUCACAAAUGCCUGAGCUCAACACUUGCUGAUCUUGUAGACGAUGGAUUAUUUAUUUAGAAGAAACAAAUCAAGAAAAAAAAAUGUUAAUCCAACAGUUAGGAUUCAAAUUCCUUUUCAUGCUCAGUUUAAUUGAUGCAACCCUCCUUGUUGCAACCCUCCUUGUUCAGUUCUGUAUCAUGUUCAUUUCGUUCUACGUGAACUUGCUUGGAUUGGAAGAGAAAAAAUAAUAAUUCUGUGGAAUUUUUGUGCAUGUGAGCAGUUUCUUGGCUUUUUUGUCCUGUUCUUUUCACAAGGCUUCAUAUAUUUUUAGCCCCUAUUGAAGCUUAGGUGGUAAGGGUGGGGUCAUAAUUGUUAGCUUAUAAAAUUUGGAUUUCGUCUUCUAUAAUUGAGGGGCUUACAUAUUUUAUGCAUUGCUUGUUGGUUUGUGGAUUAUUCGCACAAUCAAUCUCCUAUACUAUCUUUUCGUCUCUCUCUCUCUCUCUCUCUCUCAUGUUCAUUUUCCUUUGACUUACUGUUGUUAUCUACCAGAUCUUGCUUUUCAAAGAAGAAACAGGUGGCUACUGUAGAACGAGAAGUGGAUGGUGAUCUUGUGACUUUAUGUUUAGACUUACCUGCAGUGAUCACGCGAGUUCAUGUUCACUCAAUUGGUUUCACUUGUUCAUAUGACUGAGCUUAUAUUUACUCAUUAAGGUCUUUCCAAGAAUAUUGCUGAAGCAAGGGGAAAAUUGUAUAUCGGUCAGCUUAAAACCCUAGAAAAAAGACUAAUGGUAUGAUUUCCUAGUUAGAUUAAUUACGAAAAUGCUAAACCAUUCACAUAAAUUACAAUAACUCAACAUUAAAUGAUUGUUCAUAAGAUCAAAAGGACAAAAAUCUUCAUAUCUUAUUUAGCAGCAAGCAGCUGGGUGCUCUUGAGUUUGUCAGCUUUGACCCUCUUUUUUUUGCAUAAGGACGUGUGCUAGUAACUUGCAUAUUUGCACACCAUGAUGUUAUCAUUUUAGAGCCAGCACGCAUCAACUUUAAGAAUCUCAGUUUUUUUCUCCAUGCAUUUCGGUAAUGGAUUUGUGUUUUAACUCAAUUGAAUACUUAAAUAUUUUUAUAUAGUUUAUAUUAUGUUUAAUAUUAACUGGUUUGUUAUUCUUCAUUAGAAGAACGUGUAAUAUAAUUAAAACAUAACAUUCUUUAUAUAAAAUAAUUUAAUAAUUUCAAGUUUAAAGAUCAUUUAUAAAACCGUUACGUCAGCCUUCUAAUAAAUAUACGUGAUAUUUUCAUAUAAAAUUUUCAUGUCAGUUCAGUGUACAUGUUAUCUUACAAGUAUCUACAUAUUAAAGAUAAGUAUCCUUUAUACCUCAAUUUAUGAGAAUAGUUAUUUUUUUUUAUAAAAAAAACCAUAAUAUUAGUUCUAAGUAUUUCUUAUACCUCAAUUUAUAAAAAUAAUUAUUUUCUUUCAUAAAAAAAGAACAUAACAUGUAUUAGUUUCAACAACUUUAAUUAAUAUCUAGUCUUAAUAAAACAUUGACCAUAAAUAUUUAGAAACAAUGCUUUGAUAUAAUAGAUAUCUCAUAAUUAUUAUAACUUUUAUAAUUUUCUUUGCAAAAGUUUUUAUUUGAAGAACUUUAUUUUCACUCUAGAUUUAUUAAUUAAAUAUUUUAUAAGUAUUAAAGAUAAAUUAACUCUUUAUUAAAACUAAAUAUUUUUAGAUUGAAUAUAUAAUAUAUUAAAAUUAACUCAUAUCUCAAUUUAUGAGAAUAAUUAUUUUCUUUUAUAAAAGAAAAAACAUAAUAUGUCUUAAUUUCAACCAUUCUAAUUAAUAUUUAGUCCUAAUAAAAUAUUGAUCAUAAAUAUUUAGAAACAAUGCUUUGAUAUAAUAGGUAUCUCAUAAUUAUUAUAACUUUUAUAAAUUUUUUUGUAAAAGUUUUUAUUUGAAGAACUUCAUUUUCACUCUAGAUUUAUUAAUUAAAUAUUUUCACUCUAGAUUUAUUAAUUAAAUAUUUUAUAAGCAUUAAAGAUAAAUUAAUUCUUUAUUAAAAUUUAAUAUUUUUAGAUUGAAUAUAUAUAUAUAUAUAAUAACACAGUACUGAUUUGAGACUGAACCAACCAAUAAUGCAUGCAACACUGCCUAACGUCAUGAAAGCGAAAUCAAAGGUCAUCAAGAAGUACACUCAACAAAGAAUUGAACGUGGAAGUUAAGUCUGAUUUAGGCACUGUUUUUGCAGUUGAAAAGAGAUUUUGUAAAAAAAAAAAAAAUUAAAUUAAUUUUUUAUAUAUUUUUAGAUUUUAUAAACCAUUUACCCCUGCAGGUUGUUAAAGUCACGGCACCUCCCAAGAGAAAAGCAGGGGUCAUUGUUUCUUCUGUAGAUGAGUUGAUUGAUAAGCUAAGAAAUGAAGCUCAUGUCAUUUAAUUGCCUUUUGGAUUUCUAGUUGGUAAAUAACAUUGCACACAUUAAUGUAAAUUAUUUCUCAAGCUUAAUAAAUUCAAGCUUGGCGGGGCAAUUGGUUUUCGUUUCUGUUUUCUUCUUCUUUUUCUACUCUGCUGCUGUUCAUUGACUUUACACUGUAUUUUUGUUAGAAAUGGAGUUUCGAUUCAUUAAGCUGUGAUUUCUUUUUCCUUUUUUUAUAAAUGACAAAGGGGGGAGUGUAUGAUUUAAAAACUCAGCAGCUUCAUGCCAUGAUUCCAUUUUUCAUGCCAGCUUCAAGUGGUGAUUUCAGUAGUAGUUCCAUAGGAUGAAUAGAUGAGAAGCUGCUCCUCAUAUCUUGUUGGGGCCUCUCAGGAUUGAAUCAUGAACUGAUAGAGGGUGACUAGACACAGUAGUAGAUGAUGAAUAUAUUCAUCAUUCUUUUGAACGCCAUGGAUGCUUGCUUGUAUUUUCCAGCGAGUAUUCUCGCUGGUCUUUUCUGUUUUUGGCGAGUGGAAAAUAAUUAGUGCUAACCUGUAAAAGGAAUGGCUGGCUAUGAAAUGGGCUUAAUCAAAUGAGAUACAAGCCCAAACGUGCUAUCUUACAAUCACCUAAGGGUUUGAAAAUGUGUCUGUUUUUAUAUUAAAAACAUAUUUCAAAAUAUUUUAAUUUUUUUAUAAAUUUAUAUUAUAUUAAUUUGUUAGUGUUAAAAAUAAUUUACUUUUACAAAAAUUAUUUUCAUAUAUCUUUAAAUAAAAAUUAUUUUUUUUAAAAAAAUAUAUAUAUAUAUUUUUACUUAUUACGAAAGUAAAAAACGAAAAAAAGAGCGUGCGAAGAAGGGUUAUUAACUUUUAUUUUUUAGAAAUGAAUUAAUUAGAUUUUUCCCGUGGUCCAAAAAAGAACGCGGCGGCGCGCAAACAUAUAAUGACUGAUCCACGUGGUAUAAAUCUAGUGGGCUUUCACUAACCAUAGGUCCCCGACAUCAUUUACUCAAAUUCUAAUAGACUAGGAGUACAAUUUUUUCUUUUUACAUAAAAAAAACUCACAAUUUCUCCCUUCUUCUUCUUCUUCUCUUUGAUCGUCAAAUCCAAAAUCCAAUAAAAAAUUAAAAGAGAGAAAGAUGGAAGCAAUAGAUCAGAUUGAGGGGGACGAUAGUUACUUGGAUUAUCUGGAUAUUUUAUUGGGCCCCGCUGAUUCUCUCACCAACAGGUAUUUUUCUUCCAUUAAUUUUCUUCAUUUUUUACUUUUUUAUUUUAAUUUUGUUUUCUAUGUAAUUGAUUUUUCUUUAUCAUCAUUAGAACCGAUUGGGGCUUGCAUUUUAUGUAAAAAAAAAAAAAAAGAAAGAGAAAGGUAUUUGUGGUUCUUAUUCUUAUUAUGUGAAUAAAUCUCAUAGGGAUUUUGGCAGUGCUAAAAAGUUAAUAAUUUCUUUUGAAUUUUGCAGUUAAGGUAUAAAAUUUUAUAGAAAGGAGAUCUGUAGUAGCUUGAAUUUUAUGAUUAGCUGCCGUCUGAUGAUACUUUAUUGGGUUUUAGUAUUGUUGUUGUUAUUAUUAUUAUUAUUAUUAUUAUUACAGUAUUUGCAGCAGUGGUGGUGUUGUGGAUAUUGAUUUUUCAUCUAGUGUUGGUGUUGUUACACAAGUCAAAGAAUGCUCGCGGAAGAGGUAUUCUUUUUCUUGCUUUUUUGAAUUUUCAAACAUACUUGGUAUUGUUUUGUUUGUCGAAGCUGAAAACUUUGAAAUUGAAUGCAAUGCUUUUGAAUCGUUCAUAGAGCAUCUUUAUGUGUUUCACUAUUUACUGAUUUAUGCUUAACAAACUCAUCUUGAAUAGAUACUCCUUUUAUGUGACAUACAAGCAACUGUUAUAGCUAGACAAGUUCAGCUAAUGAAAUGAACACAGUUGGCGCUUCUUCUUUUUUUCUUCUUGGACUGCCGCAUUGAUAUCAUUGAGGGAGUUCCUUAAACUAUCUCAAUAAUGUAAAUAGACUGUUCUCGUGUCUAUGAUGAUCCCCU